CCUGCGCCAUCAGAUACGCGACGGAGUUGCCCACAGAGUUGUCAGGCAAGGGCGGCUCGGCCACGGCACGCACGUUUAUCGCGUAUGCUGACAAAGAAGGUCUUGAAUACCCGAGGUUUGAUCUUGACGCAGCCCUUGCACACUUCCAAAUAAGUGCAGUCAGUGCCUCGACGCGUGAUGGUCUAGGCACGCUUGCACUUGAAACUUCAGCCCUGAGUCGGUCAAUUUUCUUUGUAUCAAAUACAAACCUGUUUGCUUGGACUGGUGAAAUAUGUAAAGGUAAGGGCACGAAGGAUUCACUUGCCGGAAAAAUCGUUGAUGCAACAAAUCUAGGAACCACUUCCUUAUUACCUGCACGAGCUGUGGUGGUCCAGCUGUUAACAAAUAUACCUAACGAGACUCCAUCAAUGAGCUUGUGACAAGUGCAAACUGUGAUUGCCAGUCCCCCGCAUUUGAAAAAAGUUGCUUGUAUGCGCAUCAUUGGACCCCCGUUGCUUGCUACUGGAGAUUCUGCGUAGUUAAACGGGUGAAAAUCCCGUAAUAGAUUCUGAUCAGGCUUUUGUAGGUAUUCAAACAAAAAGCCGUUUGCAAAAGCUUCAACAUACUCAGCCCCUUCGUCGUUACAUUCAAUUGAGAAAUCGUCUUUGACCCUCCCAGCAAGUGGGUAGAAUUUUGUGAGAGUUUUUGAUAGGGAUGACUUGAGACGUUGCGAAAUCUGGUCAGCUUUCACAUUACCGUCUGCUUUGUACAGAAAAAUGGUGCUCACAUAGACCGGAAAAUUAAUCUGGUCCAUGAGGGAAAGUUUAAAAUUUCUCAGGUGUUCAGGAGUUGGGUAAGCUGGUUUGAUGCUUUCUCUGGCCCGUACUAGUACUUCUAGUGCCCUUUCCAUUUUAGGCUUUGCUACUUUCGCAACCGUUUGUAGACUUCUUAUUAGUAGUACCUGUUCAUUAUUAAAGCAUCAAAAGUUAAAUACAUUAUACACAUAUAACUGUAACUAAGAAAAGUUUUAUCACUAGUUUUGCUUACUUUUCAGUGCCUGCCUUGUUGCUCUAGAUCUCGGUUGCUCUUAUUAGAUGCAGCUCCUCGGUAACUAGCUAAGACCCUUAUAUAGUAAAAUUUGGUUGCCAAAUUUGACUCCAUUAGUUCGAUUCCGUGGUUUGUCAAUGCAUCAUCAGUUCAAUGAGAGCUUGCUCACGAUAAUCACAUGCAUUGCUUUUUGAAUUUUAUGAAUACGAAUCCUCACGAUCGAAAGAGACAUUGAUCAAUACAUUAAGUAAACGCUCGUGAAUAUAUAUGGACAAUUGAAAGAGCAAUGCUAGGUACGUCAAUAUCUAAGUCCCAAUUUGAAUCCUAAUUGAUGUGGCAAGGGUUGGCAAAACCUGGGUCCGGGCUUGGGAAUGGCAAUGCUUGGAUCCGAACUUAGGUAUGGCAAUGCCUGGAUUCGGUGCAGAUAUAUUUUUUAGACACCCAGGUUGAGCUUUCGGGCCGAAUUUUUUAAUUCGGAUUAUUAUAUCGGAUUUUAUACUUUUUAAUAUUAUAUAUGUGUACUUUUUAAAUUUUUUUGUAAUUUUACAAUUUUUAAAUUUAUUUGUAUGAAAUUGGACAUGAAAAUAUGAACUUUAAAUAUUUAAAACUUUACAUAAUAUAGUAGAUGGGUCAAAUAAAUAUAAUUAUUUAAACUAAUAUAUAUUUUAUAAUAUGUUUUUCAACAAAAUUCUAGUUCUAGACCGAGUUCCAGGCUUAUCAAGUGAUGUCCAGGACCAGCCCCGCUUCAUCUUUGGGCUAGGUAAUCAUAGGUCCAAUCUGGGUCUAGACCGAGUGGGUAUUAAAAAAUACCCCUAGAUGUGGCAUUCAUUGAUUACAUGGUAAUUAAGUAAUUUUACUAGUUGUGAAAUCCAUCAUUCAGUAGAUGAAUGACAAAUAGCACUGGGACUCAAGUUGGGCCUCAAAUGUUGGGAUCCCUAACAUUUUUGCAAUUAAGCAGCAAAUGGUCCAAUCUCAAAAAACUCUAAAGGCAUUAAAGGCAAAGGCAGAGAGCAAGAAAGUAGUAGGAAAAUUGUUGUUUGACAACGAAUCUCCGCUAACACCUGAGGUAAUGGCAGUGGCUUUGCCGCUCAAGUAUGUGGUUCUAGCCUUGGUUUAUGGAGGACAAAUUGACCCAAAUCACCAUGUAGAGAGGUUUAAUAAGAUAAUCAAGAUCAAAGGCUUGAAUGAUCUAUAGAAGUGCCGGGUUUUUUGCUUUACUCUAGAAAGGUAGGCGCGAUAAUUUUAUUGAAGACUAAGAAAUGGGAAGCAUAGGAAAUUUCAAAGAAUUGUGUGACCUCUUAGUCGUGAAUUUCGGAGGUUUAUGCAUACGUGAGCAAGAUAUGCAAGGAUUAAAGAAGGGAUUUAGAAUCAAUUGGUUGUAGAAUAGUUUGUAUAAUAAGAGAAUUGCAACAUAUGCUAAGGUGUAUGAUCAGGCAAAAUGGAUGUAAAAAACUAAAAGUGUAGAAGAAGAUAAAAAGAGAAUGGAAAAAUAGAGGAUAUGUCCGGUGUGAAAAGAACUAAGAAGAGGAUGAGAUAACCUUAGUUACAGCUCGAGAAGGAACUCAGAUAAUAGGCGUCAUUAUGACAAAGGCUUGGUUAAUGACAGAUGACUAGACAGGCCAUGACAAAACAAAAGCAUUGAAUGAAGUUUGACAGAAGAAACAAAGGUUUCUGAAUAAUGGUAAGCUUUAUUGAAAAGUCUGAAUGAAUAAAACUAGAGUUUUGAACCCCUUUUAUAACAAGUUCAAAUAUCGCGAAUUUACCAAAAUAAGCAAAUCCAAAAUCUAAUAUGAUAAUUAAAUUCUCCUAACUAAAAUAAGAAAAUGAGAACAAAUGGCACUAAAGUCCAAGUUCUAGAAAAAGAUAAAAAUCCUAAAAGAAUCAAGAAAAAUAAGAAAGAAUCUUAAAACUAGAAAAUGACCAGGAAAGAAACAUAAUUUUUUGUUCGACCAUGGGGCAAAAUGGCUUAUACGGAGUUUUUUUCAUUUUGUUACAAGCUUCAAAACGAUACAUUAUAUACUGAAUACAAACAUUUGUAGCCCAAUUUAUGGCCUCCGGAAGGUAUAUUGUUCGCUAUACACAACACCCUACAUCAAGCCAGUUCGUGAUUGGGAAAAAAAAAAUCUUGAAGAGAGGAAGUCCCACCAAUAGGCGAGGCCAAGAAAGAGUAAAUGACUAUAGGAAAAGCUAAUAGGAGAACUGAGUAAGAAUAAUAAGAUGUGUCACCUAUAGUUUGGAGAGGAUCAAGAUUAUAUAUAGGGUAAACUUAAUAGAGAAGAGUGGGAGAUUUACACCUCUAAACAAGAGCAAAGCAAAAAUAUUUAUUGUGACUACAGAUAAGGGCUAUUAAGUCUGCCAAAGCCAAUUAUGAGAGAUCUGCGUCCGAGUAUGGAACCACAGAUUGCAUAGAUGUGAAAAAAGAGAUUGAAUGGCUUAUGUAAAACCAAUAUCUAAAGGAAAUGUGAACACGAAAGAAGAGAUGAGACUAGAGGGGACAACAAAGACAAUAUGGUAAUGAUGAUUAUGGAGUGGCAGACCUUGCAAGGGACUUGAAUUGUUCGAGGUGGAAUUAUAGUUGAUACUCCCUAAAACGUUAUGAUGUGAAUUUUAAUGUUCCGAUACCAAAGAAGCAAUGAGUUCAAAGAGUACUGACUAUGUUCACAAACGAAGAUGAGGAAGUGUUCACCCACCCACAUAAAGAUACGCUUUCAGUGAAAGUUACCUUGUCAGGGUAGGAGUUGAAUUAGGCUUUCUACAUACAGCUCAGCUAACAUUUUGUUUUUGGAUGGUCUACAAAUAGGUGACGUCGGGCUUGAUCCUAUCAACACAUCAUCAAGAGGAUUUGGAGGACCUAAGCUGACUUCCAUCAAUGUAAUUGAUCUAUAAUUGACUGUAGGGUCCAACUCACUACAAAAAAAUAGUGAAGGUGAUAGGGUGGUUGGUGAUGAGCCUAGCCUUUAUCAAGUCAUUUUGGGCAGGCCAUUUGAUAGGAUAGUAGGACCAAUGAGCUCAAGACUUUUUGAGGAUUGCCUGAUCCUAUUAAGACUAAGAUCAUCAUUUUAGCUUUGUUGAGUUCUAACAUGAAUAAAUUAUAUGAUCCGAUCUUAUUGAGAUAAAGGCCAUCAUUCUAGACUUUUUGAGGUCCGAUGUGAAUAAAUUAAAUGCCCGAUCUUAUUGAGAUCGAGGUCAUCAUUUUGGCUUUGUUGAGGUCCAAUGUGAAUAAAUUGCAUGAUCUAAUCUUAUUGAGAUUGAAGUUACCAUCUUGGCCUUAUUGAGGUCCAAUUGAUUUUGUUCUACUAGCCUUAUCGAUAUCUAGCUAAUUAUAAUUGUUGUGGCUUUAUUGAGGUCCAAAGUUAACAAUUAUAAUAUGAUCCUAUUAAGAUCAAGGUCAUCAAUUUUGAUAUUAUUGAGGUCCAACCUAAUUUAAUUAUUUGAUAACUUCAUUUAAUUAUUUGAUCCAAUCUUAUUAAGAUUGAAUUUGGCAAUUUUCUAAACUCCAUUUUAGACUUAUUGAGGUCCAAUUGAUUUUGUUCCACUAGCCUUAUUAAGGUUUGGCCUAUUAAAUUGUUUUGGCCUUUUUGAGGUCCAAAGUGAACAAGAAUGAUCCAGUCUUAUUGAGAUCGAGACCAUCAUUUAGCCUUACUGUUGUAGUGAAUUGAAAUGUUAUUGAUGUCAAUAUGUAAGUGCACAUAACAAGUAAUAUAAUGAUAAGUAGUCGAGAUCAUUUCCACAAGGAUUGAUGUUAUUAGAUUUGCUACAACAAUCUUAAUAAUGCAAUUUUGCUUUAAUUGAAAAUAAAACAAAUAAUAAAACUAAUACCUUAAUUAAUUACAAUAAAAUGCAAUAAAGUAAAUUCUCACAUCACACACAAGGAUAAAACCAAUGGGAAUGGAGUAGUUGAAUGAUUAAACUCCCUUAAUGGUUUUAACUAUUUUUCUAAUAUUUGGUUCAGUUGCUACAGUAUCUCCUACAACACUGGGCCGAAUCCUUAUGUAUCCUCAGUUGUCGCAUGUUAGAUGUCUUAUAUCUUUUGCAACCUAACAGUGACCAAUUGUUAUGCUAAUAUAAGAUAUAGCAUUACACGCUUAGGUUCUAAUUACCCUACAAGGUGAAUCUUUAUGUCUAAUUCAUCACUAAUUUUAAAUUUAGCAUGACCCUUUUGGAAUCAAGUAAAACUCAACUCAAGAAACCAAUCUAAAACCACGUAUUGUUCUGAUAUGUUCCACUAAGAUAGACCAUUUUGUGGUUCUUUCCUAGCUAAUAUCAUUAAAUGAGUGGUUAGCCGAAUUAAUUAAUAGAAAUAAGUAUUAUCAUUUACUCUCUAAAUAAUAUUGAUUUAAUCCAAAAUAUAACUAAAAUGCAAUAAAAAUAUGUCAUUUACUCUCUAAAUAAUAUUGAUUUAAGUCUAAAAAUAUCAUGAUAACUCUCAUUUCAUAGAGUUAUCACUUACUGUGGUCCAAAGUCUAACCAAAAUAUCUACUAGUCUGACCUAGAAACCUUAAUUGCCAACGUAGAGAUACACAAAUCUGACCUGAAAAUCUAUUUAUCAAGGUCAUGUCAAGUGUGCUAUGCCUACCUAGAGAUCUGUCAAUUUGACUUGAAAAUCUGUUUGUCCUGGUCAUGUCAAACAUGCUCUGUCUAUUUGGUGAUCUGCCAAUCUGACUUGAAAAUCUUUUUGUCCAUGUCAUGUCAAACGUGCUCUAAACAAGUCCUAUUCUUUAGAGAAGUUAAGUGUAAUCACCUUUUAAACCACCUUCAACUGAUAGAGGCUACCUGCAAUUGCUGAGAGAGUGAGCUAAAAUUGAGGAAAUAACCACCCAGGACCAAAAGCCUAUUUAAGCUAUAAAUGGUGUUAGAAGAUGGGGGUUUGCAAAUUCGACUGGAAGCUCUAAAAAGUUACGAACCACUUAAUCAUCUGCCUCUUACAUGACCUUCAGAACAACACCAAAAAUAUCCCUUGAAUUCUUGCUUAUUUCUAGUUUUUACAUUCCAUUUUCCUUCUUUUAUAUAUCAAAUAUCUGACUUAUGCAUCGGAGGAUUUGUGCCAGACUCUUUCAGCAUAUCCUAAUUGUGUUUUAUGGUUGGCUGAUGUAGUGAAAUGCAUUUGGAUCGGUGUUUGAGUUUGGAUUCGUGCUAUUAUUCCCUAGAAAAUAAAUUCAGCUGUUGAGGUUAUUUUUCAGCAUUAACAGUUAAUAAGCUAAAUCAUUAAAAAUAAAAAUAUUACUAAGACUUCUAUUCAAUGACAAUAUAUCAUAUAAAAAAUGUGAUAAUAAUUUAUAAUGGAAAAAAAUUACAAAGCAAAAGAGUCCCCACCCACAUAAAAUUUCUUAGCCUAGUUUAAAAGAGAGAGACUAUCAAAACAAAAAAAAAAACAAAAAAAAAAUUGAAUGUAGACCAUCACAACCAUUUUUUUUUUACAUGCUUGCUUCUUCUACUUUUUUUAAAACUAUUUUUAUUCAUUAACAUGUACUUUAUUUUGACAAUAAUAUUUGUGUAUAAAAUGACAUUAUAUAUAUAUAUAUAUAUAUAUAUAUAAGUUAUAAAUAAAAUGUUCAAGGAUCAAAUUAGAAUUUUUGUGUUUAACUUAUCAUAUUUUAUUUGAAAACUCAAACAAAAUAACAAAAUUCAAACUUUGCAAGUGUUGUGGCACCUUCUAACCUUACAUGCUCUCAGCCCUAACCAGAAAGAAAAUAUAAAAUGACUAACCACAUACUUGUGGUGGAUCCUAAAGCUACAUAUGUUAAGAAUCUGCCCUUGACUGUCCAAAAAAAAAAUGAGAUGAAACUGCUAGUUUACAUGUUGCUCAAAACUGGUUUCACGAUAAGAGAGAGCAUAUAUCUCACCCAAUAUACACUCAUACAUGUAUGUCCUUAAUAUCUUCCUCAACAAAAUGGCGAGUUAGAGGUCGAAAACUAGUAAGCUCAACUUGAGGAUAAAAACCAUUUUGCAUCAAAUUUUUCACCCAACAUUUCCUUCCACGCAUUAUUCCAUUUAAAUCCCCAAUUCCUUAGUUUCCUUAUAUGUCAGCUCAGUUUUCAGAAUGUGGAAGUGCUUGAGGAUAUUUGUAAUAAUGUUACCAAAGGCAAGGUGUUUGACAAUAAAUAGCCUGUGGCUAUCAUGUUCUGAAUAAUAAGGUACCCAAUAUUAACUUUCAUUUCUCUCUGUUAGAAUAUGUUCUGAUGAAGUUGAUACAAAGAGCAAGGAUUGCAGAGUAUAAUAAGCCUAGUGGUGCAGGAAGUAGCUAAUAAAAGAAUCAUGCUGAUGUGGCAGAGGACGUUAUGCUAAUAUUUCAGAGUUUGUUAUAUAUCAAAACCAUAGUGUAACAAAAUUAGUGAUUGGUAGUUAUGUGCAUGAAUAUUCCACAAUCUUGUAAAUAAUAAUUGUAUUAGUUAGUUUUCGGUUCAAUAAAAUCUGUGAUCAUUUUCUUCUCUCUCAUUCUUCUUCUUCCUUUAUCUUUUCUCUCUAUUUUCUUAGAAUCCAAACACUUUCUCAGCUCAUUUCAAACAUGGUAUCAGAGCCAAUUACCAGCUCAAAUCUAAAGAGCAAUACUUAUAACUUUGUCACUUCAAUAAAACUUUAUCAAAACAAUUUUAUUUUUUGGAGAACUCAAGUUCUUACUUCUAUCAAAUCCAAUGGCUUAGAAGGUUUUAUCACUGGUACAAAAAGUGUCCAGAUCAGUAUAUUGUUCAAGAUGAAGCUGCUGCGAGCUCCUCAAGCUCUGCAUCUGGAUCAAGAGUUGAAAAUCCUACGUUCUCUGCGUGGAUUAGAAUUAAUCAACUUCUCCUCAGUUGGAUGAUGUCUUCAAUUCAAGAGAAUUUUCUCUCCUUAGUGAUUCAUUGUGUUUCCUCUCAAUAAUUGUGGGAGUCUCUGAAUCGCAUGUUUGUUUCUCAAACACAAGCUCGUGUCAUGCCUAUCAAGAUGCAACUACAGACAGCUAAGAAAUGAUUAAUGACAAUGAGUGCAUAUUUUGCAAAAAUGAAAAGGUUAGCUGAUACUCUUGCCAUAGCUAGUAAGCCUAUUGAGAAUGGUGAUCUUGUUAAUUACAUUUUAACUGGACUAGAAUCUCAAGAAUAUGAAUCUCUAGGUAUAAGCCUAUUAGCUAGAGGUGAAAGCUUAAGUCUAGAUGAUUUGUAUGCCUUAUUACUGAGUCAUUAAAUGAGAAUUGAACAGAAGAAAAAUAAUCUUAGCACUGAUGUAAUGCAUAAUCUUCUGCAAAUCUUGUUCAGAAGAAUCAAGGAUUUGGCAGAAAUAAUUAUGGAUUUAAAAAAGGUAAUAUGAGUUUUGGUGGAUUUGAUGGCAAUACAUUUAAUAAUCCAGGAUCAGGUCAAAAUAAUAAUAAUUUUGACUUAAUCAUCUGCCAAAUCGGCUUCAUACCUGGACAUAGAGCAAACAAAUGCAAGAAUAGGUUCAAUCCUGGUUUUGUACCUCAAAAGUAUUAUGGCAGAGGAGGGUUUAAACCAACUUAUGGACAAAAUGGUAAAGGUUUUGGACCUAGACCAUUUCCUGGCAAUGGUAGAGGAUUUAAUGGUCAAUUUAAUGGUAGAGGAUAUGAUUAUAAAACUACUAGUUACCAAGGCAACAUGAUAUAUUCAUAUGUAAUAGCUUCUAAUACUUAUUAUGUACCUUCUCAAUCCUCGCAGUCUCAUCAUUUUUCUCCUCCUCAACCUUCUGAUCAUCUAAUGAUAGCCAGGCCUAAGGCUAAAAUCUUUAAGCCUAAGACUUUUUUAGCAGCAUUACUUGCUGAACCUACAGAACCAGCCUCUGUGGCUCAAGCAUUAGCAUAUCCUAAAUGGUUUAAUGCCAUGAAAGAAGAAUUUAAUAUAUUGCAGGCCAAUCAAACUUGGUCUUUGGUUCAACCUUCUACACCAGUCAAAGUUAUAGACAAUAAGUGGGUAUUCAGAAUCAAGUAAAAUCCAUAUGGAUCCAUAUCUAGAUAUAAGGUUAGGCUUGUUGCAAAAGGCUUUUCUCAAACUCAAGGGGUUGAUUAUAAUGAAAUCUUUAGUGCAGUUAUUAAAGCCUCUACUAUCAGGAUUGUUUUUAGCAUAGCUAUAAUGCAUAAAAUGGGUUAUUAGACAGAUUAAUGUUAAUAAUGCAUUCCUUAAUGCCUAUCUUGAAGAAGAUGUGUAUAUAACACAGCCUGCAGGCUUCAUUGAUCCCUCCAAGCCUCAUCAUGUAUGUAAGCUUAAGAAGGCUCUCUAUGGUUUAAAACAAGCUCUUAGAGCUUGGUUUGAUAGAUUUAAAUGUGCAAUGGUUCAACAAUGGCAGUUCACAAAUUCCAAGUCAGAUUCUUCUUUGUUUUUCAAAUGGCAUCUUGGCCAUAUCUUGCUGGUUUUGGUUUAUGUUGAUGAUAUUAUCAUUACUGGCUCAAAUCUGUCCACGGUGCUUUUAGUUAUAUCUGAUAUGCAUAGUACAUUUGCUCUUAAAGAUUUGAGGGAGCUUAGCUAUUUUUUAGGGAUACAGGUUACUAAAACAGUAGAUGGAAUACAUCUUUGUCAAGCCAAAUACAUAGCAGAUCUUUUAGUCAAGCAAAAUAUGGAUAAAAGCAGUCCUUGUGCCACACCAAUGGCUACUUCACAUUCUCUUACCAAAAUUCAAGCACUCCUAUUGACAAUGAUUCUCAGUACAGAAGCAUAAUUGGAGCAUUGCAAUAUGUUACUCUUACUAGGCCUGAAAUUGCUUUCUCAGUAAAUAAACUGAAUUAAUUUCUUUCCAAUCCUACUGAUGAACAUUGGCAAGCUUUUAAACGUUUGUUGAGAUAUCUCAAAGGGACUCUUUAUUUUGGAUUGGCUUUUUCUCACACUGGUUGCCUACAACUUAACUAUUUUACUGAUGCUGAGUGGGCAUGUGAUAGGGAUGAUAGAAAAUCAGUAGCUGGGUAUGCUAUGUAUCUGGGUUCCAAUCUGGUAUCUUGGUCUUCUAAAAAACAAUCUAUUGUUUCUAGAUCAAGUAUAGAGUCUGAAUACAGAGGUCUUGCUUUGCAACAACAGAGGUAAUAUGGAUUCAAGCUCUACUUUCUGAAAUGAAGCUCAAGUCAGUUGACAUACUUAUAAUGUAGUGUGAUAAUCAAAGGGUCAUUGCCUUAGCUAACAAUCCAGUUUACCAUGCUAAAACUAAACAUGUUGAACUAGAUAUUCAUUUCAUUAGAGAGAAGGUUUUAGCUAAACAAAUUAGUAUUUGCUUUGUUCCAAGUGCAGAUCAAACAUCAGACAUUUUUACAAAGGCUCUCACUUAUAAUCAGUUUUAUUAUCUUAAAAGCAAGCUAAAAGUUCAUCCUGGACCUUUUAGCUUGAAGGAGGAUAUUAGAAUAUGUUUUGAUGAAGCUGAUACAAAGAGUAAGGAUUGCAUAGUAUGAUAAGUCUGGUAGUGCAGCAAGUAGCUUAUAAAAGAAUCAUGCUGAUGUGGUAGAGGACGUUAUGUUGAUAGUCCAGCAUUUGUUAUAUAGAAAAACCAUAUUGUAACAUAAUUAGUGAUUAGUAGUUAUGUGCAUGAAUAUUCCAAAAUCUUGUAAAUUUAUAAUUGCAUUAGUAUAAAUAGAUGAGCUGUAAUUGUUUUAGUUAGUUUUCGGUUCAAUAAAAACUGUGAUCAUUUUCUUCUCUCUCGUUCUUUUUCUUCCUUUAUCUUUUCUCUCUAUUUUCUUAGAAUCCAAACACUUUCUCAACUCAUUUCAAACACUCUCAACAAAUAAUCGAGCAAUGCAAUAUUCAACUGUGUUAGGUGUUAUCUCAUCAGCAUGACCCUUUCGAGGACUAAUAACAUGAUGCGGAACAGUGUGAAACAUGCACACUCGAAGGAACAACAGUUGUGAGCAGAUAUUCAUAUCACAGAUAUCAUUUGUAACAAAUUGAAUGUGAUCAAAGCCCUCAAAUUCCUCUUUUUUUUUUUUAAGAUGAAAAGAUCUGAAAGCCACUAUCAUGAGUUCCUAAUAUCCUAUUUGGUUUAGACACAUAAAAGAAGAUAGGCUUCCCAUAUACACAGAAGUGAUUAUUUGAUUUUAUUUGGAUUGGUUAGAGUCCAUAUAAAGUUUUAGUACACAUGGUCAUUUUCCCAAUCGAAUUUGGUAGUGUCGUUAAGGUGCACCAAAUUUAAAACCUUACCACUAAUAUAAAUAAUUAGUACAGAGCGAGUAAGGAUCGAUCCCACAGAGACUAUGCUAGUUAUAUUUAUUAUUAACUCCAAAGCAAGAUUUAAAAAUAAAAUAAUAGUAAUAAUAAUAUAAAUUAAUCUAACUAAAGAAAAUGUCAAUUAUAAAUAAAAGGGGGGUUUAUGAAUUUUUAACUAAAUAGUAAUAAAUAAAGAAAUUAAAAUUACGAACAAGAAUUUAAUAAAAACUCUAAUUAAAGGAGAAAGAAAUAAUAAUGAUGAAAACUUUGGUUAAAGGAUCAUUCGCCACCACCAAACAUGCACAUAAUACAUCAAUUCUAUCAUCAAUUUAUAUUGAAACUAUCAACCGUAGACAACAAUAAGCUCUGUUAGUCUCAAUCUUUCCUUAGUGUGUCGUUAGGCAAUAUAAGCUCUUCACCUAAUCUCUAACCAUUAAAUAAUUUAAAACAAGCUCUUUAAAUUUAAGAUAAUAGAAGCAUUAAAAAGAGAAAGAUAUUAGGUUGAUCUAGGCAAUAAACACACAAGCUCAGAUUAUUUAACCUAGGUUAUGUUCUCCAAUUGAAAUCACUGAUUCCAACCUGCUACUAAUGAUUAAAAUAUCAAGACAAUUACGGAUAAAAAAUUUUAAUCUAGCAAUAAAAUUUAUUCAAGUCCUAUCUAAUUGGCCACUCAAAUAAAACAAGAAUAAACCAUGAACAUUAAUUAUAGAAGAACAUAAACAUUCUCAAUUAAAUAAAUUGAAUGAUAGAAUUUAAAUUUAAUUGCAUAGCAUGUUUAGGGUUUUGAAUUCACCCUUAACCAAAUAAAAAUCUAGCCUAACAUAAUUGAAUUGAGAAUAAGAGAAUUGAUAAAACCAGUCAUGGAGAUUAAUUCAAGCGGCUGCCUUUGCUUCAAUUUAAUUCCUUCCGACGUCUGCCUUGUUUUUUUCCUUCUUGCGGCUGCAAUCUCAAAUUCUCUUGCUGCCGAUUCUCUCUACCUGAAUUGCGUCUGCACUCCUCUCUUUAUUCAAAAGCAAAACUCCCUUUUAUAUUGCUUGGCCACCGAAUCCUAUUGUGAUUCUAACAACUAAACUAACUUUUACAAGCUAAAGCCCUAAGCUUGCCACGUAAUUGAAAACAAUAAAGGCCAAAAGCUAUUGAUUUCCUUCCUUUAUUCUACUUUGACUUUCCAUUCAAAGGCUUAAUUAAAAGCUUUGUUUUAUGUGCUGCCCAUUUUAGCUUUAACUUGCUUCUUUGUUUGCACGAACAUGGAGAAUUCAAUUUAUUGGCUUCGGUUUCUUCAAACAGAAUUUCUUGCACAUCUCCUUAAUUACUUCCACAAAUUGAUUUGAUCUUCAAUGUUGUCCAAUUGUUAUUCUUUAUGUACUUUUCAUCCAUAAUCUCCAAUUAAUUUCCUAUGCAAUAAAAUAAUUCAAUUAAUUAAAAAUAACAAAUAAAAAUAACUAGCAAUUAUAUAAUUAAGGGUAAAAUAUGUAUAUAUAAAUUAUGCUCAUCAGACUUCUUGAAACAUAUGAUAUGAAGUUUGAUGACAUACAACCAGAUGACUCAACUUAUCCAAGUUGACAUAAAAAGCGGAGAGUACCUGGCGGUCCAUGAACAGAAAGAAGAACUGCUUGUCCAUACAGGUUUCUAAAAAUUGAAGCAGCUGGCAGCUUCAUUAAUGUGAUGAGCCACUUGUUGUCCCAAAAUUAUGUUUAUUCUGAAUAAGGUGGUUAACCGGCUUAAUUGUAGCGGUUAGUAGUUUGCUAGAGUUGGCAAUGGAACAAGAUUUGAUAAUCUUGAUCAAAGGUGCUUGAGGCAGCUGAUUAAUGUAGGAAGUUAAUUUUGGUUAAUUUAGGAAUUUUAAAAUUUUAGAAUUUUAUUAUUUUGAGGUUUUCUAUUUUAAUUAGAGUCAAUUAUGGUAUUUUAUUAUUUUAGCACUUUUCAUUUUGAUUAGAGUCAAUUAGGGUAUGAGAUUUAGCUAAUUAAGGGAAUAAUCUUUUAUUUCCAUUAUAAUUGUAAUUUAGUUUCCCUUUUUAAGUUAACUUAGGGAAGUGAGUUUCAUCUAUUAUAGAUAGAGAGGUCCUGUAAUUAUUUUCAAAGUUCAGAUUCAACUAUUCAAUAAAACCCCUCUUUAUAAUUCCCUUUGGGUAUUAUCUAUCAAAAUCUCUCUUGUAGAGUCGUUUAGAUUAGAUCGUCAUCUAAUCUUGCUUUACGCAUUAUUAAAAAUCUCAUUGAGUUGUCUGGGUUAGAUCGAUAUCUAAUCACGCUUCGAUUAGGGCUUACACCUAAUCGUGUUGGUUUGGUUCAGUACUAAAAUGAAAUCUAGUUUUCCUACCCUAUCAAUUUCCACUUCUGCUAUGCCUUGCUCCAUCACUGAUAAGUGCAUUAGAACAAAUGAAAAAGGCCUUUGGAAUUAAAGCCGUUGGAUUAACGAGUUUGUAUCAAAAAGAUUUGGUCUUAUACUUUCAUCUUAUACCUUAUAAAUACAUUUGAAAAAGAAAACUCUAAUUGCAAAUAAUUUUUCAUUUUUUCAUUUAAAAGUGAUCAAAUUAACCUUUAUUGUGAGGUCUAAAAGAUGCGAUUCAAAUUGUAUUCUUCGCACAAUUAGAUUAAUUGCACUUAGCUGGAACAAGAUUAACAAAUAUAUGCUCUCAAAUGAUACAAUACUGAAAAAUAUAAACGGUUACAAAAUAGAUUCAUUAUUAUUUUGGAGGUUUGAGUAAGUUGAAGCAUCUCGGCUUAAGUGGUAACAAACUCAACCUCAACUGUAGCGUCUUAUCUUCUCCAUCUUCGUUAAGAGAAUUAUAUGGGAUUCAAAGGAAUUUUUUAUGUUUAAGGUAAUUAAGCCUAAGCCUGCUUCUCAUUUCAUCUACUACAUAUAUAACUUUAUAGAUUUUAACAAUAUUUAAUAUUAUGAUUAGUUCAGAGGAAUCAAAUUCUAACAGGCUUUAUUAAGCAAACUUUCAUUUACUCUAUCAAUUCUAACAGGUCAAUGUUUGGCAUGCCACAUUGCAUAGGGCAAUUGCUCGCCCUCGUAUUGAUUGAAAAGAAUCUCAUGUUUGGUUCAAAUGGUGCGCAUCACACAAGACUUAAUGCUGCAUUUGCCUCAUUAUCGAAACCCAUCAACCCCCUCGGAAUUAAGGUGUGCAACAUUAAUUUUUAAGAAUAAAAUCUCAAGGUUUUGAGAAAUGAUUAUAUAAAUCAUCAUAUUCUCAAUAAGGGAUUUUAAAAUCCCAUUUUGACUAAAAUACCAUUUGGUUCUAUCAACUCAAAAAAAUUGACUCUAAUAUUUUAUAAUAAAUAGAAAUAUAAUAUUAAAAUAAAUAUAAUAAUUUAUAUUUUAAAAAUAUUUUAUAUAUUAAAAUAAAUAUAAUAUUAUUAUUCUACUAGACAAAUUAAACUAUCUAGAUUAUAUUUAUAUUCAUUAAAAAAUUUUAAAUCAAUUUUUUUAGUUACUAUCUACUAAGAAUAUUAUAGUCAAAAGGGGAUUUUAAUGUCCCUUAAAAAUUUAGGCAUCUACAUGACCAUUUCCAUUUAUCAAAUGAAAGCUUCCGUCAAAAGGAUAUUAUAGUCAAAAGGGGAAAUGUAGGUGUCUACAUGACCAUUUCUGUUGAUCAAAUGAAAGCUUUCGUCCCUGUAGAUCUAUGGUCAAAAUUUGGAAUCUCGAAAAUUUGACCAUAUAUUUGCAGCUAAUGAAAGCUUCUUUUCUGGUGAUACAUGUAUCGUUGCAUAGAUUUUGUGAUAAUAAUUCCAAUGGUGAAAAAAUGAUAUCAAUAGAUGCCAAAAUGUGAUCAGAGGGGGUGGUUUGUGGUGGUCAACGGUGGAUAAUUAUAUUUUAUUUAUAAAUUUAAAUAAUAGAUUUAAGAAAAUAAGAACAAAAACAUUUAAGAUAUUAAUAAUUAUUAAAAAUUAAUUGAAUAUAAAUAAUAAUUUUAAAAAUAUUAUUAUAUAUAAUGAUAUACAAUGUAACACCAAACAUUGAAUAUUAUUAAAGUAAUACAAUGUUAAUACAAUAUAGCUUACUGCAAUACAUUUUGCAUUAAAUAAUGUAAUACAGUAUGCUAAAUGCACCCUUAGUGUCACACUUUUUAAACAACCUUGGGCCAUUCUUUUUUUUCUUUUUUUUUUAAUUCUUAAUGACUUUGUCAUUGACUUAAUUUCGAUCAGUUAAGCCAUUAAAUCCAUUUGGUUUUCAACUUAAUGAAAAUUUUCAGUCACUAAAUCAUUAAGUUAUUAAUCAAAUUCUUUUAGCUUUUUGCUUAAUCUAAAAAGUUUUAAAGAUAUCAUUAAAGAAUAUUCUCCAGAUACCCUAUUUAAUUAAUUAAUUUUCAUCCUUACCUAAAUAAAAAUUAAAAAAUUGGAUUUUACCAUCUUUAUAACUUAUGACAAUAUAGCGAUAGACUAUUAUUAUUUUUAUUUUUUAUUUUCUUCAAAUUAGCAUUAUUUAUCUUCAUAAUUUUUUAUGAAUUUUUUUAUAGAAAAACAUCAUGAACUUCAAUAAAACUUAUUAACAUAUACAAAUUUAGAAUUUAAAAUAUCGUAUUCAAUUGAAAAUGAUUUAUGUUAUGAUAAUAUAUAAUCUCAACUAAGUUCUUUCAAUAUUUAUUAUUUAUUUAACAUUCAUAAUUUAAGGUACAAUGUAAAAAUACUAAUUUUCAGAUUUUUUAAAUUAAAAAAAUAAACAACUUAAUAUUUGUUUUUUGUAAUUUAGCAAAAAAAAUGAGCAUAUUAUUUAGAUUCAGACAUCCAAUUCAAUUCAGAAUUUUAACUAAUUAAGGUCUAUUCAAAUUUUAGACAAAAAAACAAAUGCAAACAUCAACUUUUUUUAUUUUACAAAUUAAAAAGAUGAUUGGAUUUCAACCCAUUUGUUUGGCCUUAAAGGAGCCAGUGUUCUUACCAUUUGAAUUAGCCUUCGCCUCAACUUCAACUUUAUUCUUGGCAUGCAACGCUGGUCGAUAUCAACUUAAAUUUUGCUAUGUUAAUUAUUUCAAUCCCCACGUUGUGCAUUCUUUGUAGCGAAAACCUAAUUACACACCUAAAUAAGUUGAUGAUCAUUACUCAACCAUUAAUAUUUCAAGAAGUCAUUUCACCAUCCGUGCUAUUAGUUUUUCCCUUAAAUUUAACUAUUGACUAUUUUACCAUCUUAAAGUGUAUAAUUAUGCCUUUAAUUAUGUGAUACAAUUAUGAAAAUAUUCAUUUUAGCUUAAAAUAACUAAAAUACCCAUAAACUUAACUUAAAUUAAUAAAAUAAAACUAUCAACUCCUUGAAGAAUUCAACAUAUAUAAUACUAUAGCUAUUAAUAAAUUUUGAUUAUUCAAUAUAUAUGCUAAAAUAUUUUAUACAUUUAGUAACCGUUAUAUAGCUUAAGGAUGAAUGAUUCUUCAGGUCUAUAGAGUUGGUGCAUCUGCAAAACUUAUUUAUUAACCAUAAUGAUCUAAGGGGUAAUUUACCUUAGUGCUUGGCAAAAAUAACCUCCCUUCAAGGUUUGGGCGUCACUUUCAGUUAACUUACUAUAAAUAUCUCCUCAUCUCCCCUCAUAUCUAUAAUGAUCCUUGAAGAUCUCACAUUUUCAAACAAUCACUUCCAAAUUUCAACAUCACGUGAGCCAUUCUUAAAGUAAAUAGUUAAAUUCAUAAAUUGUUAACUAAUUCCAUGCAUAAAGCCUCCUUAAAAGAUAAUUUUAUUAGUUGUUUCCUUUUAAGUUAAUUCGUAUUUUAAACAAAAACGUUUAAGUUGUAUAUAUCAUAGUGAGAGUUUCUUCAGAACAACUCCCUUUAGAGUAAUGAUACAGCCACAAACUCUUGUACAAACUUAUUUUGUACAAACUGAUGUGGCAUGAUAAGAUUGGUUGAAUUAAACAUCACUUGGCCCACAUGAUUUGUUUUUAUUAAUUUAUAUUUUCAUUCAACCAAUGAAUUAAUGCCACGUCAAUUUGUACAAAAUAAGUUUGUACAAGAGUUUGUGGCUGUAUCAUUACUCCUCCCUUUAUUCUAACAUACAUAGAGAUGACAAUUGGAUCGCUCCAUAAUGGAUAUCAAUAAUAUCCAUCCAAUUGGAUUAGAUAAUAUCCAUCCAAAAAUUUCUGGAUCUUAAAAUAGAUAUUUUAAAAUUAUAUCCAGAUAGAUAUGAAUAAUUAUUUUUACCCAAUGGAUAUCUAUUUAACCCAACACAAUUUUAAAAAGUUUUAAUUUUAUAAAAUUAAAAAUGAAAAAUGUAAUAAACAAACAAUUGUAAAAAGAAAAAAAUGAUUUUAAUUUGGCAAACUCUCGGUCUCUCCCUCUGAUGGCUUCGAGCACCACGAGCUUCCUCUGCUGCAGACGAAGACGAAGUCGUCUUAGAAUCCGUUAAUCGAUGUCUCAACCGGAACUUCAUUUUCCGGUUUGUGAAAGAAACGGUCGUUCCGGCAAUCCCGACCGGCAACGGUUUUUCCACGGCAGGACGAGAACGCGCCUUCCCAGUAGCGGCGCGAUCCAGAGACUGAAUCGGUAGGGGGAGCGAGUCGAGAAGGAAGUCGCUUGUCGGCUGAUGCCUUUUGACGGCGACUCUCAUGUUCGUGUUGUGUUUUCGGAGACGGCCUGAGUGCGUGGAACAGAUCUUCAAAGCAACUGAGAUUUGUGCUUAUCGCAGGGCAGUCGCUGAACGAACCGGUGGUGCAGUACGGCCCUUUCCUGAUGAAUUCACAAGCUGAAAUUGAUCAAACCAUUGAGGACUAUCAACUUUGCAAAAAUGGGUUUGAAAAUGCCAAGUACUGGAGGUCUCAGUCUCAAUGAGUGAGAGAGCAAACCCCAAUCCCACAAUCCCAAAAAGAAUAAAAAGAUAAUAAUAACAAAAGGAAGCGGCUGCAAUUCUAUCCCAAUCAAGUAGGAAAUUGAAAAAGAAAGGCCUUCUAGAAGGAGAUUCAAAGUGCAUAUUGAGUUGUGUGGGGGAGCAACUUCGUUUACCACUAAAGUCAUUAUGUUGAUGGGUCGGCUUAUCUUUUUGAUAUUGAUGGAAUUCGCUGCUGUUUUGCACACCAUGUUCGUGUUGUGUUCGAUAAUUUGCUUCACUGAAGUGAAGUGACGAAGGCUCAUGCGACGGACUAAGCUGCAAUUGUUUUUUCAAAUUGUUUAAAAUAAUUUUAAUUAGCUUUUAAAAUUAAUAAUUUUAGGAAAUAAAAAAUAAAAAAAUAAUUUUUUAAUGUAAUACAUCAUUAAUUAAUUUUUACUUUAUUUUAAAAUUUAGAAAUACAAAUUUAAUGUCCAUGGACAUCCAUGGAUAUCCAUAUUUGUGUGGAUAAAAUCCAUAUCCAUAUCCAAUAUUAAAUAUUAGAUAUGGAUAUGGAUAAAUCCAUCAUGAAUAAUCAUGGAUUUAUACGUGGGUGGACAAUAUCCAUAUCCAUCUGGAUAUUUGCCAUCCCUAAUAUAUAUAUAUAUAAGAAAAUUUUAAUUAGUUAAUUGCUUGAAAUUUUCUUAUAUGAAAUUAUUAAAAGUGGUUUGAAUUUUUUAUAAUUAUAUUUUAAAGUAUGGUGCGUAUGCACAAUUUGAGAAAUGAAAAUAUCACCACCCAUAUUUUAAUAUACUUUUUAUUUAAUUAGAAACUAUUGUUCUUUUCUUUACGGCAUAUAUUGUUAAUAUUUAUGGAGAAUAUCCAUUUUGAGAAUCACUAACCAUUCUUUCAAGUCAUUAUCUCUAGGCUUGUUCAUUACUCCUCGUAUAAUAAUAAAUAUUUAAAUAUUGAUACAUGAAUAUAAAAAAUAAAUCAAUAAUAUUAAUUAAAUAAUAAUUUUUGAAAUUUUAGGACUAGUAUGCUAAAUUAACAAUUCGAUAAAUUUAGACGAUCAUAUAUUAUAAAAAAAAAUCUUAUUUUUUUAUUGUACUCAAAUACUAUAUAAAUUAAUAGUUAAUUUACUUGCAACUAAAUUAAUAGGAUAUGCACGUACAUGGGCGGCUUUUGUGAAAUUUGGUUUUACUGUUCUUUUCUUGAAAUGGUUGUCGGCUUGAUCUCAUGUCCAAUUUCACUAGCGUUUUAAAUAAAUUUGUGCAAGAUAGGCUCAAUAGUAGAAAGAACUACCAUUUGAGGCAUGCACAAAUAUCUAAUUUCUUAUUUUAAUUAAUAAACAAUUACAUAAACAUAAGACUUUAAUAUAGUCGAAGUGGCUAAAUAAGCGGACGGGCAUCUUAUAGUUUGCUCGUGUUCGUAUAUCCAAGUACUGAUGGAUUUGUAGUAGCAAAUGCAAGCAGUUCUUGGUCACGUUCAAAAAAGGCCAUGUCUUCGGGGCUCAGAGUCACCAAUACUUCUAUUCCCUUACCAUCGUUUGUGUCCAUUAGCAUAAUCAAGUUUGACACCGAAUAAUUUGGAAAAGUCAGGUGCACUGGCUUUCCCCAUCCAAAAUCUGCUGCUUCAUAAUAUGGAAAGUUAACAAUACUGGAGAAAGUGUAGAAAUCGAUCUCAUCUUUUUCAAACUUGUCUUUAAUUGACUCCGGAAUAUCGAAUAUACUCUUGUUUUCUAGCAAGGUUUUGAGACCGUUUCGUCUAAAUUCUGCCUUUGCUUUCCUUAAUGAACAAACCAAGUCUUGUAGUGUUUCAAUUUCCUUUUCACUCGCCUGCGCCAUCAGAUACGCGACGGAGUUGCCCACAGAGUUGUCAGGCAAGGGUGGGUCGGCCACGGCACGCACGUUUAUCGCGUGUGCUGACAAAGAAGGUCUUGAAUACCCGAGGUUUGAUCUUGACGCAGCCCUUGCACACUUCCAAAUAAGUGCAGUCAGUGCCUCGACGCGUGAUGGUCUAGGCACGCUUGCACUUGAAACUUCAGCCCUGAGUCGGUCAAUUUUCUUUGUAUCAAAUACAAACCUGUUUGCUUGGACUGGUGAAAUAUGUAAAGGUAAGGGCACGAAGGAUUCACUUGCCGGAAAAAUCGUUUAUGCAACAAAUCUAGGAACCACUUCCUUAUUACCUGCACGAGCUGUGGUGGUCCAGCUGUUAACAAAUAUACCUAACGAGACUCCAUCAAUGAGCUUGUGACAAGUGUAAACUGUGAUUGCCAGCCGCAUUUGAAAAAAGUUGCUUGUAUGCGCAUCAUUGGACCCCCGUUGCUUGCUACUGGAGAUUCUGCGUAGUUAAACGGGUGAAAAUCCCGUAAUAGAUUCUGAUCAGGCUUUUGAGGGUAUUCAAACAAAAAGCCGUUUGCAAAAGCUUCAACAUACUCAGCCCCUUCGUCGUUACAUUCAAUUGAGAAAUCGUCUUUGACCCUCCCAGCAAGUGGGUAGAAUUUUGUGAGAGUUUAAAAGCAAAAUAAACAGGUGUUUAUUAUAUAUCUUGAUUUUCAUUGAUUAUGUGAUCAAAGUGUCAAUUUUGAUUAAUUUCUUUUUCAACAUUAACUUUUAGGUUAUCUUAGUUUUAAGUAUUUAGAAUAUUUGGUCAUGGAUUACACGCUUGUUAAUUUUUUUCAGCCAUUGACUAUCAUAUUCUAGACUUAACGGUACUUUUCUUGAUCAGGAUAAUAAUUCUCUCUUUACCUCUUAUAAUUAUCAUAUUAAUUAAUUUAUUGUUACAGUUAAUAGUCUUUAAAAAUGGAUAGAUUUAUUGUUUUGAUUACUAAAUAAUGCUUAAGGCUGCGACUAUGAACAAAAUUAGUAGUUAAUGUAAUAUGUUAAUAGAUUUAAGAUUUUAUAGAUUACUAAUUGUUAUAAGUUAAAGGAUGAAUUAUUUUUUCAGGCCAAUGAGUUAGUGCAUCUGCAAGAUAUUUUUUUUUUAAUUCUUAUAUUGACCAUAACUAUCUUAAGGGUAUAAUAAUAUGUUUUAGUGCUUGGCAAAAGAUGACAUCUACCUUUAAGUUUGAGACGUCUCUUUCCAUCAAUUUACUCGUAAUAUCUCCUCAUCUACCCUCGUUUAUCUUAUGUCAAUAGAAGAUCUCACAUUUUCAAACUAUCAUUUCCAAAUCUCAAUAUCGCUUGAGCAAUUCAAAACAGAUCAAGUGCGGAAAUAUCCAAAUACACGUAAUAAUAGAGCCACAUUCUUUUGCCUCCAAAAUUCUAAUUAUAUGACUUCUACAUAUCUCAUUGUCUGGUCACAAGAUGUUGGCAAAUUUUCCAAAUUCCUCUUCCAUCAACAUCACUAGGAGUAUGUUAAUCUCUAACAUGUUAACUUGAGUGGAGAGUUUCUAACUUGACACACUUGAUAAUUCUCUUUCGGUAAAAUUUAAUUAAUUUUAGGGGAAUGUUCAGCCAACCUAUAGAAUUUCAGAUUGAGCAUUAGACUAUACAAAUUGAUAAAGUGAUUAGAUGUUAAUUUGCUGACGAUACAUGUUCAUGACUUGAAAUUAGAUCUCUAUGGAUUGGUAUACAAAUGGACGUACUGGUGGUGAUAAUUGAACCAAAACAUAUGAAGCUAUAAAGAUUUGGCAACUAGAAAUUGAUGAAGAGGGUUUCAAGUAGCUUUAUUUUUUCAAUUAGCCUUCUGUUAGAAAAACACAAAACAGUGAGAUAACAAAUUAUAUAUUAGCUAAGCAACGAAAACAAUGAGAAACAGAAAGCGUAACAGAAGAGAGAGGAAACCAAAAAUAGAAAAUGCAAUGGAACCGAGGCCUGCACAAAAUAGUCUCCUUAAAACAUAUUUACUGCCUAUUUGGAGUGCUUAAGGUCUGCUGGUAUCUGCUUCCCAGGAUACAACGGAUACGAAUUUUCAGUCAAGCACUGGCUGGAAAUUCCGGCGAACCACCACAAUAAACUCGAUCAGAGAAAAACGAAGAAGGAUGAAGGACAAACAGCAAGUAUGCUCUGUGCUUGUUUUAGUUUUUCGAGUGUGUAAAAACAGAAGUGAAGAUGCCUUUUUAUACUCAAGGGAGGAUGUAACAGCUGCUUUGGUAUUGAAUUUCUGAAUUCAAUAUGUUUUAAUCAAUUGUUAUAACAGCCAUGAAUUGAUUUCAAACUUGAAUAAAAAAAACGUGAAUAAUAGCUAAAAAUUAAUUGUAAAAGCUGUUUCAAAUUUCUUUGAAUUCAAAACAUUAAACUGUUACAAAAAUUCAAAAGGAAAUUAAAACGUGCCACUUUUGUUAAGUGAGACCCACUCAAAAUAUGCCCUCAAAAUAGCAUGUUAUGUUAUUUUGACAACAAUCCCCCACAUGAAUGAAAAUUAGCAGUAAAAACAGGAAAACAGCUAAAUUUUGACAUCAAAACUAUUUUUGACUUUUAAUGAUUGAGUUUAUUGGAUUGAUACCUAGCACAGGAUAGGUAGGUGUUAUCCUUUGAACCUUCCCUUGUAAUAGUAUAAUUACUUUACUAGCUGAUCAGUAGACACGAUGUCUUUGAACUAUUCUGCCAUUAGUGUAAACGAUCAUAUACUACACAUAGGUAUUUCUCCUAACACUGUUGAGUUCUCAUGAUUAUGUUCGUUUUGGCCUUGAACAUCUGCCUGGUUCUGCAAGAGUUUCUAAGAGCUGAACCCUUUAUAGCUCCCUUUGAAGCGACCCCACUUCUCUCUCACAUAGGUGAUAUCUUAAUUAAGAGUAACCCGCAUUACUCCGCUCGAAUUUUCGACGCAUAAGAAUCAUUAAGAGCCUAGCUCAACCUUAUUCCCCACGGGCAUUACUGUUUCAUCAUAGGAAUGGUCAAUGAGGUAAUCCUCUCAAGAGAAUGACCCCCACAGUGAUCCAUCUUUAGUCUUUAACAAAUAGGUUGUCCAAUUGAACCUAGAUCUUGGGAUCUCCAGUCUACUAGGUUAGGUUUUCCUUCUUUAUUGACUAAUCAAUCUAUAGGUUUUAAUCUCAUCCCCCUCGAUGAUUUUUCUACUAGCUCUCUAUUUAACCCUUUGGUUAGCGGAUCCGCUAUGUUAUCCUUUGACCUUACAUAGUCAAUAGAAAUAACUCCAAUAGAAAUAAGUUGUCUAAUGGUAUUAUGUCUACGAUGUAUGUGUCUAGACUUACCAUUAUACAUAUUGCUUUGUGCCCUACCGAUAGCUGAUUGACUAUCGCAAUGUAUACAAAUUGUAGGCACAGGCUUUGGCCAUUUUUGGAAUACCUUCUAAAAAAUUACGUAGCCAUUCUGCUUCUUCACCAUAUUUAUCUAAUGCAAUGAAUUCAGAUUCCAUUGUAGAUCUAGCAAUUACUAUCUGUUUAGAUGAUCUCCAUGAUACAGCUGCACCUGCUAGUGUAAACACAUAGUCGCUAGUAGAUUUUGAAUCUUUUACAUCUGAUAUCCAGUUAGCAUCACUAAAUCCUUCUAAUACUUCUGGAUACCUAGUAUAGUGCAGUCCAUAAUUACGAGUGUAUCGAAGAUACCUAAGUACUCUUAUGAUAGCUUUCCAAUGAUCAGUUCCUGGAUUACUCGUAUAUCUACUAAGUUUGCUUAUUGUAUAAGCUAGAUCUGGUCUGGUACAAUUUGUUAAGUACAUCGGACUACCUAUUAUUCUAGCAUAUUCAACUUGAGAAAUACCAUUUCCUCUGUUUUUCGAUAGAUAAAUACUAGUAUCUAAUGGAGUUUUAGACAUAGUAUUAUCCUCUUUAUUAAAUUUCUCAAGAAUUUUAUCUACAUAAUGAGUUUGACUUAAAAUAAGUCCAUUAGAAGCCCUUGAGAUUUUAAUUCCCAAAAUGACAUCUACGAGACCCAUGUCUUUCAUGUCAAACUUAGACUUCAAUAUAUUCUUGGCAGAUUUAAUCAUGUCAUCAUUACUCCCAACAAUGAGCAUGUCAUCAACAUAUAAACAUAAAAUGACAUAGCCAUUUUCUGUUUCUUUGACAUAAACACAUUUGUCACACUCGUUGAUCUUUAAGCCACUUGUGAUCAUCGUAUGAUCAAAUUUUUCAUGCCACUGUUUCGGUGCUUGUUUCAAGCCCUAUAAUGACUUAACCAAUUUACAAACUUUCUUUUCUUGUCCUGGAGCUAUAAAACCUUCAGGUUGCUCCAUGUAGAUUUCUUCAUCUAAAUCUCCAUUUAGAAAAGCCAUCUUUACAUCCAUUUGAUGUAUCUCGAGAUUGCGCAAAGCUGCAAUGGCUAUUAUCAUCAGUAUGGAAUUUAUUCUCGUAACAGGAGAAUAAGUAUCAAAAUAAUCAAGGCCUUCUCGUUGCCUAUAACCUUUAAUUACACGCCUUGCCUUUUACUUAUCGAUUGAUCCAUCGGCUUUCAUUUUCCGUUUGAAAAUCCACUUAUACCCCAAAGGUUUACAUCCUGGAGGAAGAUCUACUAGCUCCCAAGUAUGAUUUUGUAAAAUGGAUUCAACUUCACUGUUAAUGGCUUCUUUCCAUAAAGUGCCUUCAGCUGAAGUUACAGCCUCUUUGAAGCUUUGAGGUUCAUUUUCUAGCAAAUACGCCAGAAAGUCUGGACCAAAAGACUUUUCUAUUAUAGCUCUUUUACUAUGUCUAACCUCAAUUUCUUGUUCUUCUUCUUCUUCUGGUGCUUGAUCAUUUUCUUCAUUUUCAAGUGUUAUUUCAUGAAAUUGUUCCAAUUCUCUCGAUUCCACUCUGGAAUUGUAAGGAAACACAUGUUCGAAAAACGAUGCAUUUCUUGAUUCUAUUAUUGUGUUUUUGUGGACAUCUGAAAUUUUAGACUCAUGCACCAAAAUUCGAUAUGCACUACUAUUUUGUGCAUAACCAAUGAAAAUGCAGUCAACAGUUUUUGGUCCUAUUUUCACUUUUUUAUUUAAAGGAACCACUACUUUAGCAAGACACCCCCACACUCGUAAGAAUUUAUAUGAAGGUGAUCUACCUUUCCAUAGCUCAUACGGGGUUGUAUCUUCUUGCUUUCGGGGUAUCUUAUUUAAUAAAUAAUUAGCUAACAAAACAGCUUCUCCCCACAUAUUCUGGGGUAACCCAGAACUUAUCAACAUUGCAUUCAUCAUUUCCUUUAAAGUUCGAUUCUUUCGUUCUGCAAUCCCAUUAGAUUGAGGUGAAUAUGGAGCCGUGACUUGAUGUAUGAUUCCACUUUGUUCAUACAGUGACAUAAACGGAACAAUAUACUUGUUGUGCAAAUUUUAAUGUACUCGCAAGCGCACGAAUCUAUUGUAGUAUAGAUCAAUGGUGACGAGUGUCGAUCCCACGAGGAGGGAGAUUUUAAUUGUGUAGAAUUAAUUUUGUGAAUGGGUGAUUGGAUUUGUGGUGGAAAUGAUUUGGAAUAUGCUAAAACUUAAAUUAAAAUGGCGAGAAUAAAUUAUAAAAUUGGUAUUGAAAUGGUGAGAAUAAAUUGAAGAGAAUUUUAUUGAAAUGACGUACUUGGGUAUCUGGAUCCGUAUCAACAUGCAUUAUGGGCUAAAUAAUCCUUAUUAAUGCCAAUUAAAUCAUGAGGGGGGAAUCCACACCUCAUGAACCACACUCGAAUCAAUAUGGUGCUAAGGGCUUAUCGUGCCAAAUAAUAAUAACCUUGUACUAGGGGGCCGGUGAAACCAAGGCGGUACUAGACAAGAUUAGUAUUAUUUGUCGACGAGAAGUCAAAACAUCCACAAAAAUUAGAGGGGAAGAGAAAAUAAAUUUACCAAAUUAAGCCCAUGACACAUGUUGAGACUUCAUCUUCAACCCAAGCUUGAAAGAAAAUUAGCUACUCAUAAUUGAACUAGGGGCAAAAUGAGAAUUUAUUAAAAUACAAGAUGGAGAGGGAAUUACAGAAAAUGGAGUCCAAAAAUGGAUUCAGAGCUAUCAAAUUAGGGGGGGAAGGCCCUCUUUUUAUAGAUACAUUGAGUAAAUCAUGGCCAUCGGAUUAAAAACAGUUUGGACGCUCAGGAUUGCGCCACGUCAUCAGUCAACAGUACGCGGUUUGACCACGCGGGUGAAUAGUAACACGGUUUGACCCGGGUGAACAGUGACGCGGUUUGGUUGAAAAUAAUCUUGUGUGAUGCAUGUACCGUACGCUAGAUUUUUUUUCCACUGAUAUGCUGCCACGUCACCAUCAACAGUACAUAAGAAUUUUAGUCCAACAGGAUUGUGACACCUCAUCAGUCAAUGCCACAUCAUCGGUCAAUGCCACGUCAUUGUCCGUCUAUGUGAACAGUGCCAUGAACAGUAACGUAUACAGUACCGUACACGUGAAUAGUACCGUACAUGUGAACAGUGCCAUUUUUCCUUUUAUGCUCCUCCUAAGGUUUUCGACCGUCCUGAGUUCAAAAGUGAUGUCCGUUUUGCCAUCUGAUCUCUCGUUUAUUGUGAAAUGACUACGAUGCCCCUAAAAUACAUAAAAUACUUAAUUAAAAUAAAGCACACGGAAUUAAAUCAAAAGAAGGUUAAAUUCAUAAAAGUAAAGGUGUUAGUAAAACUUGUAGUGUAAAAUGACGAUUUUCUCCUUUAUAAAUAUACAUUUUCUAACACCCAACAAUACUCACCACUACGGUCACUCCUUAAUUCUUUAAUUUUUCUAUUAAGUUGAUUCUCAACUUCAUUUUUGUAAAGAAUAAACUUAUCCAAAGCUUUAUCUUUACUUUUCAAUAAAUAUACAUAGCAAUAUUUUGUGCAAUCAUCUAUAAAGGUAAUAAAAUAUUUAUUACCACUUAUUGUUUGAAUGGAUUUAAAGUCACAAAUAUCACUAUGUAUUAAAUCAAGUGGUUUGGUGUUUCUUUGAAUUAUUUGGAAAGACGACCUAGUUAGUUUUGCCUCAACACAAGUUUCACACUUAUGUUUCAAAUCAAUUUGGAAAUUGGGAAUAUGCUUCAUGUUAAUUAAUUUACGCAAAGAAUUAAAAUUAACAUAUCCUAAUCUACCGUGCCAAAGAUUAGAAGACUCGAGCAAAUAAGCAGAAGAAGUAGCUUUAUUAUUAAUUGUUGGUUUCAGAGUCAUUACAUUGAGCUUAAAUAGCCCAUCAUUACCGCCUAUUUGGAGUGCUUAAGGUCUGCUGGUAUCUGCUUCCCAGGAUACAAAGGAUACGAAUUUUCAGUCAAGCACUAGCUGGAAAUUCCGGCGAACCACCACAGUAAACUCGAUCAGAGAAAAACGAAGAAGGAUGAAGGACAAACAACAAGUAUGCUCUGUGCUUGUUUUAGUUUUUCGAGUGUGUAAAAACAGAAGUGAAGAUGCCUUUUUAUACUCAAGGGAGGAUGUAACAGCUGCUUUGGUAUUGAAUUUCUGAAUUCAAUAUAUUUUAAUCAAUUGUUAUAACAGCCAUGAAUUGAUUUCAAACUUGAAUAAAAAAAAAUGUGAAUAACAGCUACAAAUUAAUUGUAAAAGCUGUUUCAAAUUUCUUUGAAUUCAAAACAUUAAACUGUUACAAAAAUUCAAAAGGAAAUUAAAACGUGCCAAGCUUGCAUAGAUGAUUUUGGGCCGACAUUCGUGUACGCAGGACACGCGGGCGCACAUGAGUUCAACCAAAUCGGUCUUGGAUUUGCACCCCCCCGCGCACGCGCGUGUGGAGAGAGCCUUUAUCCUUAUAAUUCUUACUAAUGCAUGGUUAAGUGUUUAUAUUUAAACACUAAUUCCCAGGCUUCUUUUUCCCAUGUGGGAUAAGCCUCAUUUCCUUUCAAAUUCUCAACUUCAAAGGUGAACUUUGAGAGACAAUUUCUCAUUCACCCAAGCACCAUUUUGAGAAAAUAAAAUUAUACUUUUGAAGUAUGAACGGAGUAGAAUCCGAAUCUCACAAUAUUUUCCACUUUCGUUAAGUGAGACCCACUCAAAAUGUGCCCUCAAAAUAGCAUGUUAUGCUAUUUUUUCAACAAUCCCCCACAUGAAUGAAAAUUGGCAAUAAAAAUAGGAAAACCGCUAAAUUUUGACAUCAAAACUAUUUUUGACUUGUAAUGAUCGAGUUUAUUGGAUUGAUACCUAGCACAUGAUAGGUAGGUGUUAUCCUUUGAACCUUCCCUUGUAAUAGUAUAAUUACUUUACUAGCUGAUCAGUAGACGCGAUGUCUUUGAACUGUUUUGCCAUUAGUGUAAACGAUCAUAUACUACACAUAGGUAUUUCUCCUAACACUGUUGAGUUCUCAUGAUUAUGUUCAUUUUGGCCUUGAACAUCUGCCUGGUUCUGUAAGAGUUUCUAAGAGCUGAACCCUUUAUAGCUCCCUUUGAAGCGGCCCCACUUCUCUCUCACAUAGGUGAUAUCUUAAUUAAGAGUAACCCGCAUUACUCCACUCGAAUUUUCGACGCAUAAGAAUCAUUAAGAGCCUAGCUCAACCUUAUUCCCCACGGGCAUCACUGUUUCAUCAUAGGAAUGGUCAAUGAGGUAAUCCUCUUAAGAGAAUGACCCCCACAGUGAUCCAUCUUUAGUCUUUAACAAUAGGUUGUCCAAUUGAACCUAGAUCUUGGGAUCUCCAGUCUACUAGGUUAGGUUUUCCUUCGUUAUUGACUAAUCAAUCUAUAGGUUUUAAUCUCAUCCCCCUCGAUGAUUUUUCUACUAGCUCUCUAUUUAACCCUUUGGUUAGCGGAUCCGCUAUGUUAUCCUUUGACCUUACAUAGUCAAUAGAAAUAACUCCAGUAGAAAUAAGUUGUCUAAUGGUAUUAUGUCUACGACGUAUGUGUCUAGACUUACCAUUAUACAUAUUGCUUUGUGCCCUACCGAUAGCUGAUUGACUAUCACAAUGUAUACAAAUCGUAGGCACAGGCUUUGGCCAUUUUGGAAUACCUUCUAAAAAAUUGCGUAGCCAUUCUGCUUCUUCACCACAUUUAUCUAAUGCAAUGAAUUCAGAUUCCAUUGUAAAUCUAGCAAUUACUAUCUGUUUAGAAGAUCUCCAUGAUACAGCUGCACCUGCUAGUGUAAACACAUAGCCGCUAGUAGAUUUUGAAUCUUUUACAUAUGAUAUCCAGUUAGCAUCACCAAAUCGGUCUUGGAUUUGCACCCCCCCUGCGCAUGCGCGUGUGGAGAGAGCCUCUAUCCUUAUAAUUCUUACUCAUGCAUGGUUAAGUGUUUAUAUUUAAACACUAAUUCCCAGGCUUCUUUUUCCCAUGUGGGAUAAGCCUCAUUUCCUUUCAAAUUCUCAACGUCAAAGGUGAACUUUGAGAGACAAUUUCUAUUCACCCAAGCACCAUUUUGAGAAAAUAAGAUUAUGCUUUUGAAGUAUGAACGGAGUAGAAUCCGAAUCUCACAAUAUUUUCCACUUUCGUUAAGUGGGACCCACUCAAAAUGUGCCCUCAAAAUAGCAUGUUAUGCUAUUUUUUCAACAAUCCCCCACAUGAAUGAAAAUUGGCAAUAAAAAUAGGAAAACCGCUAAAUUUUGACAUCAAAACUAUUUUUGACUUGUAAUGAUCGAGUUUAUUGGAUUGAUACCUAGCACAUGAUAGGUAGGUGUUAUCCUUUGAACCUUCCCUUGUAAUAGUAUAAUUACUUUACUAGCUGAUCAGUAGACGCGAUGUCUUUGAACUGUUUUACCAUUAGUGUAAACGAUCAUAUACUACACAUAGGUAUUUCUCCUAACACUGUUGAGUUCUCAUGAUUAUGUUCGUUUUGGCCUUGAACAUCUGCCUGGUUCUGUAAGAGUUUCUAAGAGCUGAACCCUUUAUAGCUCCCUUUGAUUGUUACAAGUUAAUGGAUUAAUUAUUUUUUCAGGCCAAUGAGUUACUGCAUCUGCAAGAUUUGACCAUAAUUACCUUAAGGGUAUAAUAAUAUGCUUUAGUGCUUAGCAAAAUAUAAUAUCUCCCUUUAAGUUUGAUACGUCUCUUUCCAUCAAUUUACUUGUAAUAUCUCCUCAUCUACCCUGGAUUAUCUUAUAUCAAUUGAAGAUCUCACAUUUUCAAACUAUCAUUUCCAAAUCUCAAUAUAACUUGAGCCAUUCAAAACAGAUCACGUGUGGAAAUAACCAAAUAUACGUAAUAACAGAGCCACAUUCUUUUGCCUCCAAAAUUCUAAUUAUAUAACUUCUACAUAUCUCAUUGCCUGGUCACAAGAUGUUGGCAUAUUUUCCAAAUUCCUCUUCCAUCAACAUCACUAGGAGUAUGUUAAUCUCUAACACGUUAAUUUGAGUGGAGAGUUUCCAACUUGACCGCCAGAAAGCAAUACAAAGCUAGACACACCUGAUAAUUCUCUUUCGGUAAAAUUUAAUUAAUUUUAAGGGAAUGUUCGGUCAACCUAUAGAAUUUCAUAUUGAACAUUAGAAUAUACAAAUUGAUAGAGUGAUUAGAUGUUAAUUUGCUGACGAUACAUAGAUCUCUGUCGAUUGGUAUACAAAUGGACGUACUUGUGGUGAUAAUUGAACCAAAAGAUAUGAAGCUAUAAAGAUUUGGCGCCUGUAAAAUGAUGAAGUGGGUUUUAAGUAGCUUUAGGUGCGUUUGGAAUUGAGGUACAAUAUUUUCCACUUUCGUUAAGUGGGACCCACUCAAAAUGUGCCCUCAAAAUAGCAUGUUAUGCUAUUUUUUCAACACCUUCUGCCUAAAAGGAUAAUUUUACUAGUUUUUUGCUUUUAAGUUAAUUUUCAUUUCAAACAAAAAUGUUUAAGUCGUAUGUAUUAUAGUGAGAGUUUACAGAGCAAUUCUCUUCUUCAAAUAAUAAAGGAAAAGAAGUAAUUUAAAAGUAAAAUAAACAAAUGUUAAUUAUAUGUCCUGAUUUUCAUCGAUUAUGUGAUCAAAGCUAGAAUUUUGAUUUCUUCUUGUUCAAUGUUAAUUUUUAGAUUAUAUUAAUUUCAAGGAUUUAAAAUAUUUGGUCUUAUGCUAGACUUGAUGGUACCCAUUUUUAUUAGAGGUAAUGAGUACUAUUUCUCCUAUUAUAAGAAUUACAUUAAUUGUUUUUUUUUAUAUUUUGUUGCAGUUAGUGGUUUUUUAAAAAAGGAUAGAUUUCUUGUUUUCAUGACCAAAUUAUGCCUGCCUAACAUUGCGACUAUUAAUAGGAGCUGGUACAGAUCCAACUUAGCCAGCUCCUGAUUGGUUAGCUAGCUACCAAACAAAAAAAAUUACAUGCUUUUUCUCCAUAUGCAGGACAGGUGUGGUGCGUGCAUUGGGUGCGUAUGUUACAGAAUCUGUAAGGUAGACAAUUCCCUAUUAAUACACUUAUUAUUUAAUGUAUACGUUAAAAGAUUUGAGAUUUUAUCUAUUUAUUAAUGGACGUCUCUAAGUUACGUUUACCGUAAGUUACACUCAGUGAUACGAUGGGUUGGCCAAUAAAUAGAUGCCAAGUGAACAAAAUAGCAAUAAAAUGAAACUGGUUUAAAAGGUUGGAGUCCGGUCACCAACAUGUGUCAACGAGAUAAAUUCCUUUCUAUAGCCGGUCAUGACAAAAGUUAAUCAUAACACACCAUAACGUUAAGCGAAAGGGAUUCUAUAUCUUCUUCCAACCCAAUCCUCCUCAAAAUUCACUGCCAACCUCCACCACCGAAUUCCAGCCACCCGGAUUUCAAUGAUUCAAAGUCGGAGUUUUUAUUGGGUUCCAAACAAAAUCCAGAUGGAAAACCCAGCUUGGAGACUGCAAAAUCAGUUUCUAGUUGUGAUUCUUCUCCUCCCUUGGCCAUGUUCUUGGAGUCAAAACAAAACCCAGAUCAAGAAAUUGAUUAUAAAGAAAAUUGCAGAUAUGGGUCUGUUUUUGCUUCUGUUCUUGUUGUCGUUGCUUCUGUUCUUGUUGUCGGCUUAGGGUUGUUGCGUGUUGAUUGAAGGCUGUGAGGGCUAAAAAUUUCCUUGUGUUGAGUGAGGUGAAAUGAAGAAACAGAGAGAUGAAAAAUGGUGCAGAUGAAAACUAAAAUUCACAAGUUCAUAACCUAAUUAUUACUUUAUUAAACAUACACCUACACAAGUUGGAGCAUGGGUUUCUUUCAUCAAUUCGAAGCUUAAGAUUAGAGCAUGAAAGUAUCAAAAUUUACAACUUAAUCACUGUUCAUCGAUGCUAAUUAAAUGUGAACAAAAAUUGAAGACAUAAAAUUCUUGGACCGAAUUAAUUGCAAAAUCGCUAUUCAAAAUACAAAGAAUGGAUGAAAAAAGAAGAAGUAAAUUUAAUAAGACACGGGAAGCAAAAUUAAUGAUGGAAUAGAAUGAUUUAUGCAUUAGUUUUGCAACAAAAUUUGUUCAUGGAUUACACAAGUUUUAAAGCAUGGGAAAUUUAAGUAAAAUGGGGAUUGCAAUUAAGUGAUAGAAAUUAUUAUGAUAAUAAAUGUUUAAAAAUUGUGAUUACCUGGUUAAAUUUGUUGCAAAAAGUUGCUUCGAUUGAAGAAGGAGGAGGAGGAGAGAUGAGGGAUAAGAAGAAAAUUUAUUCUUUUUCUAAGAAUUAACCCUUUGAUCAAGUAGCCCAUCACUUAAAAUGACCAGUUCAGCCGGUUUACCACUUAUUACUACUUUUCGAUAAUUUUAUGUCAUCCGUUGGAUCAAUUUAAAGCACAUUUAACGUUCUUAGAUUCGCUAGCCUGUAAGUUACAUUAAACGUAACUUAGGCAUUGCCUUUAUUAAUUAUUUGUUAUAAGCUAGAGGUUGAACUAUGUUUUCAGGUCAAUGUGAGUUGGUGCAUCCGCAAGAGUUCUUUUUUUUUUUUUGGGUUAAUCGACCGUAAUUUACCUUUUCUGUUGGGCAAGUAUGACAUCUCCCUUUGAAUUUGAAGUGUCUCUUUCCGUCAACUUACUGAAAAUAUCUUCUCUUCUCCCUUCAUUUAUCUUAUGUCACUUGAAGACCUCACAUUUUCAAACGAUCACUUCCAAAUCUCAUUAUCACUUGAGGCAUUCUUGAACCAUUUAAAAACGCAAGUGUGGAAAUAACCAUUCUUUGGUCGCGAAGAUGGUGGCACAUUUUCCAAAUUCCUCGUCCAUCAACAUCAGUAGUCGACUAGUCGUACGUUGAUCUUACAAGUUAACUUGAGUGGGGCAACACAAAAAUAGGGCAGCGCUUAUGUUACAUUUGCUGUAAGUAACAGCCCUACAAAAUGGAUAGUUGGAUUUGUUAAUUUUUAGAUCCAACAGUUGCAAAGAAAUUUAACACAAAAUCAGUUACAUGUAUAGGUGGUAAAAUGAUUAUUAUAAUAAAGGAUGGGCAACCUGCCAAUACGGUUCUGGAAUAAUGUAGUUAAGGGGUUACUCGGUAAUGAAAUUAUAGAGGGAAAAGAAGAGUGAUGAGCGGGUACUCUAGGUACGCAAAAAAUUCAAGAGGCAAAAAGUACAGUAAUUAAGUUUUCAAAGAGGAGAAAAUAAGAGCAGCACCAAACAAUGUUAUCAAUUUCCUCGUUCAAUUUUGCAGACUCACAAAUUGAUUGCGAGAUUACUACUUAAAUAUUUAACUUGUCUCGUUUCACUGGAGGAUAGGAAGGUGAGGCUCCUGCCACUGAUGAGGCAAAGAAGAGCAACCAUGUCUUGAGAAAGCUUGAGAAGCGUAGAAAAGAUCGCACGCUUGACCCACAUAUUGAGGAGCAGUUUGGUAGUGGUCGUUUGUUAGCUUGUGUCUCAUCUCCGCCUGGCCACUGUGGACGUGCUGAUGGGUAUGUGACCCCUUUUAUUGCUUUUUAGUUUUCAAGAUUUGUUGAAGGCCCCAAAAAUGGAAGUAUUCAACAUACACCAUCAUGCCUGGACUUUCAUGUUGUUGAAGCUGGAUAUAUAUAUCCGUUCCUUUCCCUUGCCUCGUAAUGGGUAUUGGACAAUUGCUAGAAGUCUUUUUUUUUAUGACAUUAAACACCUUAAGAUUUGCUUUGGAGACCAUCAAAGUUGUUCCUUGUUUUUGUUUAUUUCCAUGGUAGUUAUUGGAUAGAUACAGGAGAACAAGACAGUAUAAUGGUAAUAUUUGCUUUCUUUUUUCUUGCAUUGAUGGGCUUUUUCAUUUCCGAUAGAUACAUCUUGGAGAAAGAGCUGGAAUUCUACAUGAAGAAGAUACAGGGGAAGAAGGGCAGGGGUGCUGAUGUUGCUUAAAUUUUUGUUUAUUGAAACUCCAUACUGGAAUUUCUAGUUUUGCCUUGUGUUCUUAUUUUUAGUCUUAAUUAAGUUAAGAGAGUUGAGAUGAUAUCAGCAGUUGAACCUGGAUUUCUCACUUGUGUUAUUGCUACAUUUCGUUUUUGAAUGUUACCAAUGCCUGUCUUAGAAUUUCUUUCAUUCCUCUACAUUUUUCAUGAUUCUUUUUCUUGAUUCUGUCUGUGUGAUCAAUGAAUUUGGUAGUUAAUGCCUUAAUGGUUAUUGCUUAAGGUUGAUGUAUUAAUUCCAUACCGAAUAUGAACUUGAUAUAUCUACGCCUGUGCAAUACAAUAACACAACCAUUUUAGGCACUAGUUAUGGGCAAGGCCAUCCCUAAAUAUACAAAUAACUGGGUUAAUGUAUUUUGUUUGGAAUUAGUUUAAUGUAAAAAUUAUUUUCUAACAUCUUUUCUAUAACAUUAUUUUUGUUGGUCUGAAGUUUGUGUGAAAGGAUUCUCUCUACAUGGAAUCUAGUUUCUUGACCUUUUCCCAUGUGUGCACUAUAUGUUGUGGUAAUAGAUGAGCAAAAAUCACGAUCCGUGAAUUUGCUAUCACAAGAACAAUCAAAGUAUGUAUCGAGGAAGCUCAUCGGGAUGAUAAAAAAGCAAGUCGUUGCAGCUUAUUGAAAUAACAAGCAACAAUAAUUGGUUACUGAAACAAAAACAUGUAUUUCAUAAUUAAUACACCGGCGUUAAAACAAAACCAAAAAGCAAAAAAAUAAAAAAUGCGGACGUGUAAAUGCCAUUUUAUUCGAGUUCAUUUCUUAGACGUAGGAAUGGGGGAAGAGUAACAUAGGAAUUUGUUACUGAAACAAGGGCAUGAUGAGCUUCUUGUAGUUUUAGGGCUUGCCAUACUUUUUUCUUAACCGUUCUGUGACAAAAUCAUUGCAAGUCUUAAUUCUUGCUUGUUGAGGAGCAACAUUGACAUAAGACAAAUGCAUGCCAACUGCAAAAAGGGCAGCCCCGGCAAUGAAGUAUCCCCCAGUCAUUGCCAACUUCUUCGGCAUUGAAGGAAAGCACGAUACCAUUUCUCUCUUAAGGAAGCGCAAUUGCAAUUGCGAUCAUAUUUCUGUAACAAAAAUCAAACCAUGCAUAAUAAGCAUAUGAUAAAAAGCAGAGAAACAGGGGCAGCUGCUAUGUCUAAGAGGCAUUUCAUCAUACACAUGGAAGGCGAUUUAACUGCAACCUAAGGUAUCCGGUACAGUCAAGAAAUCAAACAUGGGUAAUCAAGUUUGAUAACAUAUGUAUACACUGCGCUCACAUAAAUUAUAUUUCAUUACUCCAAAAAAAAUAUUAAUAACAAUAAAAAAAAAUCGAAUAACGAAACAAAUUAUAAAAUUUUCGAAACACUCCCUCACCUCUGAAAUCGUAGCUCCCCGUCAUUUCUCUAUGUAGUAAUAAUAGACAGAACUUCCGAAAUAAUUUGUUCCCCCCCCCCCACCUUUUCAGCCUUAAUUCAAUAAUUUCCAUUAUAAAAUUGUUUGGAUAUUUCACAGAUUAAGUUUCAGAGGGGAGUUGUUGCUUCCUUCAAUAAACGGAUAAUGAGAUUAUGGAUUCUGAACUGUUGAAAGCCAUAUAAAUUUUUUUAAUUCCAAAUUUUAUUUUUCUUUUCGAAAUUUUCAGUGAUAUGCUUACCUAAUCUUCAACCGGCUAUUAUAAGGAAUGGAUAGGAUUGACUCUAUCGUUGACACAUUUUACAACUGGUUUGCAACCGGUUUCAACAUGUUUUUCAUGGAGCCCCUUACUGCCACGUGCUGCUCUUAUGUGAGUUAAUUGGUCACCUCACUUAUGUUACUUACACCAAAUGUAACAUAAGCUUACCCCAAAAAUAGACAUACUUAAUCAGUCCAGUCAUUCUCUUUUGGUAAAAUUUAAUAAAUUUUCAGGGAUUAUACGGCCAACCAAUAGAAUUUAAGAAUGAGCACAAGAAGAUACAAAUUGAUAAAACCAAAUGGACUUAUUGUGGUGAUAAUUGAACCAGAGAUGUGAAGUUCUAAAGAUUUGGCAGCAGUUAGUUAAUGUAUAGAAGGACAUAAAGUCAAGUUCCCAUUAUUAUUUUUUUUUCAAAAAACAUCUUUACAACACAUGCACCUGCCAAAAAUUCUAAUUUGUUGACUAAUAAUAAUUGAAUACCUUCAAUGUUUUUCAUUGUAUUGACUCCACCAGCUAAAGUUUUCAAAAAAGACACACAAUAUCAAAAGUGCGGAAUUUAAUUUUUGGCCUUUUGGAUCAAAAUACAAACAAGAAAAAUGAAAAAAAAAUGGUCCAAAGAUUUUUAAAAGAGUAAUGAUAUAUCAACAAACUCUUACACAAAUUUAUUUUGUACAAACUGAUGUGGCAUUAAUUCAUUGGUUGAAUUAAAUAUCUCUUGACCCACAUGAUUUAUUUAUAUUAUUUUAUAUUUUCAUUCAACCAAUGAAUUAAUGACACAUCAGUUUGUACAAGGUAAAUUUAUACAAGAGUUUGUGACUGUAUCAUCACUCUUUGUAAAAUGUGUAGAAGGCUAUAUAUAUAUAGAAUUUUCUAGUCCGGGAUUUAAAAGUUCAAAAAAGUCCAGAAAAAACUUUAAAAUCGUAGGGUAUCAUAACAUUUCAAAAAAGUCUACGACUCUAUGUAAGUUUAAAUUAACAAUUAAGUUAACCCUUAAAAAAUUGUUAGUUGUUAUUGAUAAGUACUAAAAAUGAAUUCUAAUACUAUUGGGUCUAACUUAGUUGUUAGUAGUACAUUCUCUUAUUGUUGUUAAUUUAUUAUUAUUGAAUAUAAACUUGAGUUUUAAACUUUUUAAUUCUAUUAAAUUUUUGUAAAGUUAUGUGGGCUAAAAAAGCACAUAAACUUAAAAAAAUACGCUAACAACUUAGCAAGCCCUCUUAAAAAAAGAAAAACAAAAAGAAAAAAAAAUUGUGCUUAUUUUUUUAAAAUACGGCCCAUAGCCAAUGUUGGAUCUAAGAAAAAAAAAAUUAGGUUAGGCAUGGCACGAAUCACAUGAUAGAACCAUACCGCGCCAAUCCACGAGCUCAUGAGACUUCUUUUGACAGGUUGUUCCGUAAUUAUAAAUAACUAAUAAUCUUUCGUGUUGGAAUUUACGCACAUGGUUUCAAAAGAGUACCAUACAAUUUACGGACAUGGUUUCAAAAUCUUAUCAUGCCUCUAUGAGGAAAAAGUAACAUAAAUUUAUUGAAAACUAAUUAAUUAAUUAAGAAAGAAAGAUUAAAAUGUGAAGUAAUUCAAAUUUUACGUAGUUACAAACGGGAACCUUUCUAAUCUCUUUAUACUGACAGAGAAAUGCGGCAAGCCGGCUACUAUUUUAAAUGCACCAAGAAUUAAAAAAUGAAGGCGGUUCCUAAUUUCCUCAAAUUAGCCAGUUGGAUAAUUUCGUCGGUGAAAGAGUGUAUAAGAAGAGUGAAUUAGUAUUAUUCCAUAUAGAAUGUGGAUGUGGUAGUAAUUCUCCUUGUAGAACAAUUAUCCAACCGUUCUUGCAGCAAGAGCCCUUGUUCUCUUAUUCUCAAACAGCCCUUUAGUACUGGGCCUAACGGUGUACUCACGUUAGUGGAAGGGGUCGUAGAGAAAAAGACAUGAAUUGUGUUUAUGUGAAUGGUCAUUGAUGCCCAGCAUCCAUCAAUUGAUCAGCAUAUUUAAAAACCCAUUGAGAGAAAUCAUUUGUUAAAACUGAAAUUGAAUUUGCGCAAUUGCUAUUCAUGUUGCGAAGAAGAAAAAGAUUUGAGGUUGGAUUAAAUUAAACUCUUUUUCAUCAUCAGAUUGGUUCAAUCUUCCACAUGAUAUGAUAUGCUUAAUAGAGAAUCGCUUUCACUUUGUGGAUCAAGUUUCCGAGCAGUGUGCAAGAAUUGGCGCAGAGCAGUCAAAUAGAAUAAAGGGUUUAUUAAAUAUGCUGAUCAAUUGAUGGAUGCUGGGCAUCAAUGACCAUUCACAUAAACACAAUUCAUGUCUUUUUCUCUACGACCCCUUUCACAAACGUGAGUACACCGUUAGGCCCAGUACUAAAGGGCUGUUUGAGAAUAAGAGAACAAGGGCUCUUGCUGCAAGAACGGUUGGAUAAUUGUUCUACAAGGAGAAUUACUACCACAGCCACAUUCUAUAUGGAAUAAUACUAAUUCACUCUUCUUAUACACUCUUUCACCGACGAAAUUAGCCCACUGGCUAAUUUGAGGAUGUAGAGGAUGGAGGAGACUAAUAAAGAGACAUUUACCAUGUUUCCAGAUGAUGAUGACUGUGAUUGGAUCGAAGAGUUGUUUGAUAUUGAGGAAUUUGAAAAAACAACUGAGAGAGGAUACCCUUUGUUGCCAAAUGGAGAUGUUAUUUGUGGACGUAUGCUAUACCUGCAAGGACUUGUGUACUGUUCUUUAGAUGUUUCUGUGAUCGCAGCUUUCAACGUUGCCCUCAAACAGUGGAAAAUUCUUCCAUAUCCUCAUAUCGGUUAUGAACAUUUCAUUCAUUCUGAUUAUCUAAUUGACUCAGGAUCAGGCCGUGACAGCAACAAUAGUUUAUUAAUAGCAAAGUCUAGAGUACUAUUCCAGGACCCAUAUUUUUCAUAGGUUUGAUCUAUCAGAGAUGAAGUGGUGUAAAUUUGAUAAUAAUAGUGGUUCAUUAAAGGACAAAUCAUUGUUCUUGGGUCACCGUCAUUGUACAUCAUUACUACUUCAAGUGGAAGAUGAAGAUUAUGCAAGCGAUUCCAGGAAUACAAUCCAUUGCUAUGACUGCUGGGAGGAAGAAUGCCCCCAGAUAUCAGAAUUUUAUGGUGGCAUAUUCGAGCAAUAUGCCUGGAUUCAGGGUGCGUUUGGGAUUGAGAUUGGACCGCUGUAGCUUAAAAGCUACAACACUAAAGUGUUUGGUAAACACUAGUUGCUGUAACUUGAAAGUUAUGUUGAUGUGAUUUUUUACUUGUAUCAUAAAAAAUCUAUUAUAUUUUUAAUAAUUUUGUCAAAAUUAUUAUUUAAAAUUUAUAUUUACUACAUAUUAUUAACUUUUGUUUCAUAGUUAUAGUUUUUUUUCCACAGCAGCUGUAACUUAAAAGUUACAACACCUCAAUCCCAAAUGUACUCCUAACCUCCUCUGCCAACGGAUUUCCAUUGACUUCCCCUAUGUAUUUUUGUACCUAUGUUUAAAAUUUUUGGUCUCAUGUUACUUCUUCUGCCAAUUCACAAUGCAUGUAAUCACACACAAAACUUGGAGCAAUUGCCGCAGCAGCUAAGCAUUAACUAAGAUUGCAAUUGCUGCAGCUACUGGUAAAGAAGAGUUCAUUAAUUGGAGCAAUCAAACUAACCACUUAUGUAAUUGAUUGUUGUGCUAACAGCUCUAUUUACGAAAUAGCAACAUAACACAAGAAAAAAGAAGAUACACAUACUUGGCAUAAGUUUAUUAAGAAGUGGAAUCACAUUCGGUGAUGAGUUAGCUUCCGAUAUCUUGCUAGUUGGUGCUCUCUCCUGUCUUUCUAUGUAAGCUGAGGGAAACCAACCAGCCUUGUCCUUGCAUUGUGAAUUCUGGGAGAAAUGACGUAUGGUAGUAAACUAGAUGUACUGAAGUAGGUUCAGGAAGGAAUAUCACUUAGGCAAAAAAAGGACCGGAAACUCGAUUCCAAUUCAUUUUUGUUUGGUAUUUUAAUUCCUCUUUCUCCAGAAAUAUUGCUUGGCAAGUGUGACAUUACUUUCAAAAUCGAUAUAUAAAAUUUCUGUUAUUACUUUAAAGAACGAUCUAUAAAAUUUCUGUUAAACAUUACCUUGACUUUUAACUUCCUUUGUAUUAGCAUUUUUAAAUGCAAGAAUAAUGAUACUACUAAAAAAUAAAUAAAUAAAUACGAAUUUUCAUAAUUGGGCUAAACCAAAUAACAAAAAGACGGAUUAGGACAUCUCAUCUCUUCAAAGUUAGCUUAACUAGAACAACCCCAUCUCUUCCUUGAGAUUCUUAACAGCUUCACUGACUCCAUCCUGAAAGAAGCAUAAGUUUGUGAAAUUUAUUUUCAGUAAUGGAGCUCACAGAACAAAUAGUAAACCUAAAAAUUUACAAGAUGCAGGCUACAGUAAUUCCGACAGCAAUGGCUUCAACGAAUUCAUUAAAUAAAUAAAAACAAGAACUUGAACAAAAGAGAUAUGGAAACUACUAUAAUUCAACUCAAACUCAGUAACUGACAUAUUUGAUAAGUGAAUAACAUUCGAAUUCCUAGCAGCUAGUCGACAAUUAAAUCGUAUAAAAAGAUAAUUUAAUCGAAAGAAAAUCCAAUUUAACACAGAUAUGAGAUACGAAAAGGAAUGAUACUUAAUGCGGCAACAAGCCAUAGCAUUAAUAAAGCUGGGAACGAAGAAAGAACUUUAAUAUGCAUUUACCUCAACAGAGAUUCUUUCAGCAAUCUCUUUUUCACAUUCUUUGACUCUAGGAGAUAGUGCAUACUGAAUGGCUUAUGAUAGUGCUUCUGCAGCUUCUUUAAUGCUAGUGUCAUCCACAUUAUCUGGAACCAAGUAAUUUCUUUUUAGUGGCUCUGGAGCAACUCCAAGUCAAAACAUCCUCUCGGCCCAGUAGAACUGGUCCAGCAUAAAUGGACAUAGUAUCUGACAUCCAAAAUCCACAAAGGAGACGAAUAAAUAAGUCAAAAUUAUAGCAUACAAGUACUAUCACAAAAAUAAAACUAAAGAAAUAAAGGUAACACAAAUGAACUAAUAUUCUGGCAAAGACCAUUUAUACCAUGUUUUGACUCAACAAGCUCAAUGAAGUCCAGAAAGUUACAAUAAAUAUUCAUUUACCACCCUGCCUGUUCUAGAUGUAAUCACUGUUGGUGGGAUUGUCACGGAAAGCAAUUAUAUAUAUAUGCCCUUACUUGACAGCAAAAGUGACAAAGGAGAAAUUUAUCCCUAGAUUCUUACAACAAAUAUAUAGUAAAGCAAACAAGGCGUCAACAAAAGGUAACAUUAGGGAAAAGGAAUCUCUGUUGAAGACAAUAUCAAGAAACCACUCUUGAAAUUCAAUCAAAAAACUGACAUCAAACAGAAAGAGUGUCACCAGCAUUAGGGCAACAAAGAUGAUCGCACUUUAGCAUUUCAACCAAUACAGUAAAAUUAUGUAUGGAUACAACACAGUACGUAUCUUAUUUCCAAAUUAAAUUAAUCAACAAUUAACAAGCUCAUUUCCUUCUCCACAUAUCCGGAAAAAAGUGAUAUUUUCAUAACUUUCUGGAGUAUAUUCAUUUAAAGUUACUCCUUCUGAAAAUUAGAUUUAAAGGGGGAAAAAAGGAGAAAAAAUGGGUUUGCAGUUAAUUAUAUUGGCAGAAGAAUUCCUAUCACCAUAAAAAAUGCAUGAGCUUGUUGAAUUAUAUAGGUGCUUCAAUUACAAAGGUUAGGUAUGAAUGGCUGCCUUUGCACCCAAAGAUUUCUCAACAGUACUAAAAAUAUAUUAGAAGAAAAUUGUACAUAAAGCAACAAAGUGUUUAGAAAUCAACCUGAGGGAUUCCUGCAUGUAGUAGUGCUGCUGCAGUAGAUCCACUGGUUUGAAAUUGAACAACGUAAUGCAAACAUGUAAAUUAGCUUUGUCGUGUUUUGCACUUCUAAUUUAUAUCAAAAGGAAUCACAAAAUAGAAAGCUCUCACCUUCCUCCAUGAUGAAUUGCAGCCACACAUCUUGGAAACAAAUACUUGUACGGUACCAUUCUGGUUUACAUGAUAACAAUUCAAAAGAAAACAUCAAAUUCCACAGACAAAACGAUCAGAAGGAAACUAAUUGACUAAAAUAAUCAUUUAGUAGUCAACCAGAAAGAAGCAGUUGUCUAACUCUCAGGACAUUAGUUAUUCUAGUUAACGCAGUCAGAUUGCCCUUUUUUCAUUUCCAUUACCAAGAAGCCUACUAUUUUAUAUAUUGUAUUAGUUGAUUUAUUUGAAGACACCAGUUCAUUUAAGAUUGAAUGCCUUACAAAGCUCCAUUUGGAGAAGUCCUAAUGGAAGUUUAAAAAAAAUAUAUAUAUAUAUAUAUAUAUAUAUACUAAGGGCGCAUUGCUAUCAUAAUUUCACAAAGAGGGCACCAAGGUCCCAAGUUUCCACGAGUCUCAUACAUAGACAUCCACGUUUCCAAAACCAGUUCUAUAAAAACAGAGUAGAAACUGGGUUAAAUCAAAAGUAAUUGUUAAUUCACUUUUUGUGAGUUAAUCGCAAGAAAUGUUGCUUAAAUCAGCAAGGAAUGUCAUUGACACCAGAAAAGAUUUCGCUAUAAGUGAUAGCUUGUGAUCAUGUUUCAGAUAGCUAAAUCUUCACUGGUCAGAUUAUCUAACCAACACUAGGGCCUGCACAUUUAUGUCAUGAAAAGAAAAACUCACAAUGUAUAUCGUACAGCUCUAUUUUUGUUGCUUCACAAGUGAAUAAGUUUUCAUCUUUAUUCUUCAGUUAGCUCAAAUUCAAUAAGAAUUUAAGAUAUACUGACCCAGAAAAGCAGAAGAGCUUGCCAUCAAAGAUAGAGAUCCCAUACUGAGUGAUUACUCUUUGAGUUAAAAUUGAAGAUGUUCCAGGAGCCAUCACUCGGAUAGCUGUGUCUAAAGGUUCGUAUCCAGCUGUGAAAAGGACAAAUCUAUAAGUUGUGGUGUGUAGAACAGUUUGUAAAACCCGAAGAAAUGCUUCAGGAUUCUUUAAAAAACCCAUGCUGCAAGAAGAAAAGAGAAAUAUGGCUUAGUACAGGAUAAGUAUUUAAAGUUCCAAGUCCAAGUGCACUGAACAUGAGUCGGUAACCUAUUUUACCAGCUCUAAUGUAAAUAUAGUUCCAUUUGAUCAAGCAUUUUUUUUUCGCUGUGAUUUUUUUUAUGCAAACAGAACAUGAUUCACUUCUUUCUUGAUUGGUUGAAAUUCUUAGUAAUAAUUUGGUACUUGGCGUUUUAGGGCACAAUAGAGCUUUCAUUCAAAAUACAAAGAAUAAAUAUGUAGAUUGUUUACUUGCGCCAAGGGAUGGCAAUAAAAUCCGGAUCCGCAUAUUAAAAAAUCGGGAUCCAGAUAUGGAAAGUUGAGAUCCGCAAGGAUUCGAAUCCAGAUUCAAAUACACUUGCAUUCAAAAAACCAGAUAUUCGAAUCCAAUUAAAUUUUAUUUUAAAUUAAAAAAUAAAUAAAUAAAUAUUAAAAUCAAAUUAAAAAUUAAAAAUUAAAAAUUAAAUUUUAUUUGUGGAUUUACAAUGUUGUUGUAUGUUAUUCAUGUUGAAUUAUUGAUUAUUGAAUUACGAUUGAAUUUUAUUUGAUAUUAUUAGGUAAAUUAUUGAAUUUUAUUAUAAAUUAAAAAUAUCUAUUAAAAAUUAAAUUAAAAUUAAAUUUUAUUUAUAGAUUAUGAUAUUGCUCUAUGUUAUUCAUGUUGAAUUAUUAAUUGUUGAAUUAUGAUUGAAUUUUAUUUGAUAUUACCAGAUAAAUUAUUGAACUUUUAAAUUAUAUAUGAAAUUAUUGAAUUUUAAUUUUUGCGGAUCCAGAUAUAGAAAUGUAAAUACGAAUUUGGAUCUAGAUGCACUUACAUCCAUAUGCGGAUUUGGAUUUUGCCAACCCUACGCAAGUAAUCAACUUCUUUGCCUUUGCAGCAGAUGUAAAGUCUCUAUUUCAACUAGAAAAUUCACACCAAAAAUGCAAAAUGAAAAAUAAACAAUAGUUUUUGAAUUUUAAAUUAUCCAAUAAACAAGUUUAUUAUUUUUUCAAAAAAUGAAAAAUGAAAAAUAAGCAAUAUUUCUUGAAUUUUAAAUUAUCCAAUAAACAAGUUUGUUAUCUUUUCCAAAAGCUAUUUCCUAAACAAAAAUGAAAAAAAGUUAGAAUUUAUCAAUAAGUAAAAAAUUAAAAAUAAUUAAUAAAAGAUAAAGAAAUAUGAAUAAAAGUAGUUUUAAGAAGCUGAGUAUAUAUUGUUAUAACAAUAAAACCUUUGGUGAACACCAUCACCUAUAAAUCAGGAUCAUUUAUGUUAUAUUAUCAAUAAUCAAUAAUAAAUUAUGUGAAAGCGUACCUGAAUCCAUAAUUCUUAAUUGCCUUCUGGAGUUGUGUGGUUGACCUUCCAGAUUGACAUAUUCUCCUAGAGAAUUCUUUAAGUUUCUUAUACUCUAUUUCUAAUGAUGGGAUGUCAGAAAGAAUAGAAAGAAUAGAAUGGUAUUUUAAGUUUCAUCGCAUUUGGUUUUGAGAUGAAUUUAGUCAUUGAUUGUAUAUACUAUAAGUUAUGUAGGAGCAAGUAUAUUUCUCUAGUUUUAUGUGUUGAUGACAUUUUGCUUGCUAGCAACGGCAUAAGCUUAUUACAUAAUGUCAAGAGAUUUCUAGUUAAGAAUUUUAAGAUGAAAGAUCUUAGUGAUGCCUCUUUUUUAUUAGGUAUACAGAUAUACCCGAAUCACUCUUAGGAUAUUCUUAUCACAAAAGAGGUAUAUCGAAACCGUCUCAAGAGAUAUGGCAUGUGCAAUUGCAAACCAAGUGAUACCCCUAGUGGUAGAGGAGACAUGUUUAGUCUCAAUCAGUACCCUAAGAAUGAUUUUGAGGACAGAAAAUGCAAAAGAUUCAUUAUGCAUUAGUAAUAGAAAUUCUGAUGUAUACUUAGUUUCCUAUGCGAUCUGAUUUGCAUACGUCACUCAGAUGUUGGGCUGAUAUUUAAGUAAUCUAGAAGUAUACUAUUGGAAAGCAGCUAAACAGGUCUUGCGAUACUUACAGAGAAUAAAAGAAUACAUGCUCAUGUAUAAAAUGUUGUGUUAGCUUGAGAUCAUUGGAUAUACUGACUCCGAUUUUGCUGGAUGUCAAGAUAGUAUAAAGUCUACAUCAGGCUACAUUUAUCUACUAGCUAAGGGUGUUGUCUAUUGAAAUAGUGUUAAAUAUUCUCUUAUAACAUCUUCUAUGAUGGCAGCAGAGUUCAUAGUAUAUUACGAAGCAUGCAAUCACAGAAUAUGUCUGUGGAAUUUUAUCACGAGGUUGCACAUAGUAAAUGGUAUAUUGAUAGACUACUUAAGUUAUUUUAUGAUAAUAAGUCAAUAGUAUUGUAUUCCAAUAACAACAAGAACUCGACGAAGUCUAGACAUCAAGUUCCUAAUUGUUAAAGAAAGGAUUUAGAGUGGGCAAUUGCCUAUAGAGCACAUCCACACAAACUCUAUAAUUGCGAAUCCGCUUACUAAGGGAUUGCCACGCAAGAUGUUUCAUAAGCACACUGCUCGUAUGAGUGUCAUGUGAUUAAAGGAUAUUCAAUUUUAGUAGAAGUGUGUGAUUUUAGAUACUCUUAUAAAGUAGACAUUUUUUAGUUAUUUCAGUUUAUGGAUAUUUCGGGUUAUUUUUUGCAGAAAUAAAGUUUUGUUUUAUUCACGCCUUAACUUUUAGUAUGUUUGAUCUCACUAAAUUUUAAGGUAGAUUAGUUGAAAAUAAGCAUGUUAAGAUCACAUUGCAUGAAAUUUCAAUACUAUAUAUCCACAUCAUGUUAAGGUGGACUAGUUGGAAAUAGGCAUGUUAAGCUCACAUUGUAUGAAAUUUUCAUGCUACACAUCCACAGCAUGAUCAAUGUCAUUUAGUUGUAUUGGCAUAGUGACCAUUGAUGGGUCAAGUUACGAUAAUUGUAACAAAAGCCGCUUUGAUCCUAUGUUGGUAUGAUUGAUGCACUGAAUUAGUUAUAGAUACAUUUUGGUAAUGACAAUAAGGUUGAGCUCAUACAGUUAUUUUUGCAAAGCAUAAUUAUCAAGCUACACAUAUAGCUCAAGUGAGAGAUUGUUAAAUCUUUGAUCCAACAUUAUUGGAUCCUUAAUGUAAUGUUGGGCUUAUUUGUGAAUAAUUAUGUGUUGUGGACUGUCAUAUAAGGUUAAAUCUAAUUAAAAGUGAUCUAUUAAGAUUUUCAAUAAUAUAGGUUUUCAUGUAUCAAAUAAGGUAUAGGCCUUUGAUAUAAAGAUAUUUAAAAAUAAUUUCUAUUUCUAUGAUGGGCUGAAAUAGGAAUACUUAAAGAUAAUAUGAAAAGUUGUCUAUAUAAGCGGUUAUCAUUAAUAUAACUAUAAUAAAUAUUUAAAUUUGAAUAAUAUUAAUUUAAAAUUAAUAAUAAUUAAAUAAUAAUAGAAUAUAUAAUUUAAAUUAAUCACAGUAAAAUUAAUACAGUACAGUGGAGCACCAAACAUUAUGCAGCAUUGUUAUAACAUAGUGCUAAUGCAAUACAACAUAAUACAAUAAAGUGUGUCAAAUGCACCCAUAGGAAAAAGCACACUUACACCCCAACAUUUAGAGAAAUAGUCAUAAAGAACCCUAAAUUUUCAAUAAGAGACAUCAAGACCCCCUUUUGACCAUAAUACAUUUUUAAAACCCAAAAAUUGACCCGAAAAUUUAUAAUAGAUAGAAAUAUAGCAUUUAUACAAUCUAUUAGGCAUAUUUUAUUAUACUAAAAUAAUUUUUAACAAAUAGUAGCAUAAUAUCAAAAGAAAUUAAUGAAAGUUAAAAUUAUUUUGAAUAUUAUGUAAAAAAUAAUUUUACUAUUAUUAACAGGGAGAUAUUUUAUUAAUCGUAAAAUCUUUUUAACGCAUAAAUACAAAUAUAUUAUCAAAAUAAAUAUAGCAAUUUAAAAUUUUAAUAUUAUUUAAAAUUUUAAAAAUAAUUUAAUAUUAUUAGUCCACUAGAUAUAUUAUAUUUAUAUUAAUUAAAAAAAUUUAAAAUCAAUAUUCUAAUUACUAUAUUCAAUGAGUAUUAUAGUAAAAAAAAUGAGUCUUGAUGUUCGUAAGAAACAACAUUACAAUAACUCUAUCAUAAUCUUGUAAACAAAAGUACAAUAACUCUUCACGUAAUCUUGUCUGCUAACACCAAUUAUUUAUGUAUAUUUCUCUUUAAAAAAGCUCAAACAAUGCUCUUCGUUUUUCUUUAAUUAGACAAAAGAAAAAAAUGAUUACGGAACCACUACUUUCCAAAUGACCCUAUCAACAACCAGUGACUCUGACUAUAGGCAAAAUAUGUGCUCAAAAGUCAUAGCGUUAAAGUUGGAGAAGCCCAUUUGACAAUAAUAAAUAAAUAAUUUUCCGUGACGCAUGAUUUUUCCAAAUCUUGUUUUGUAUUUCAUUUUUUUUUACUAAGGGUUAAUUUUAGAUUACUGACUCGUGAUUUGAAUUCAAAUCACCUCCUUAUUUUUAAAAACUUUAAUUUACCUUUACGUUUCGUUAGGAAAAUUAAAAAAAAAUCAAUGUACCGUUUUUUAAUCUUUUGAAUGAGGGAUAAUUUGAGAUUUUCAAAAUUAAAUGGGCCAUUUGAAAUUAAUCAAUUUAAGAGGGGACAAAUUUUAAACUACUUCCCUCUUGAAUUGACUCUCUUCAAAUUACCCUCUUAUUUUUUAAAAUAUGAAGUUAUCCUAUUUUUUGUGUAAAGGAUAAGGUAAAAAUGGAGAUAAGUUGAUGAUUUUUUUUUUUUUUGGCUUCUUAACAAAAAUAGAAUAAAUUGAGAUUUUAAAAAAUAAAGAGUGAUUUGAUGAUGGUCAAUUCACGAGGAGAAUAAUAUUCUUUUAUGAAAAAAAUCUAUUUUUAUUUUUAUUAUUAACAAACUUACAAUAAAUGUACAUAAGGAUUAAAAAAAUAUAAGGAUAUAAGUUUGUGAGUAAUGAGUUCAUUUCUUUCCACACUUGUUUAUAUCUAUUGAUUUUAUUGCACUCUACUUAAAUAUCCAAAUAUUUCCAGCAAAAAAAAAGGGGUCGGCUGAAAUAGACAUGACGUUUUUAUACGCUAAAGUUGGAAUAAUAUGAAUAAAUCUAUUAAUUAUCCGAUGAAGACAAGUUUUUUUUUUUUUGAUAGUUUAACUUUUUCCCCCUAAACUAUGCACUGUUUGUAAAUGAAAGCGUUACAAAAAUUAUGAAAAACGGAUUUUAUUUUUUUUUAGUAGUAACAUAGUAAUUAGGAAAUAACAUCUAGGCCCAAUAAAAUAUUAUUAACAUUUUACUACUAAUAAUCAUAAAAUCUUACAUUUUAUUAUUUUUAUAUGUUGACCUUUAAUACACCCCUUCUUUGAAAUUUAUAAAAAGAGUUUAUCAAGAAAGAGGAUUUAAUAAAUAAAUUUAUCCAUUUGAAUAGCUGAACUCUUUCACACAUCUAUAAAAUAUCAGUAACGCCCUUGACAAAAAGACUAUUUUCUCAAUUCCCAUAAUAUACCAUCUUCAUGGUUGGCAGCAUAAACAGCUAUUAACUAUAAUAUUAGGCAAUUAGUAUUCUAUAUUCAAGGGUAAAAUUCAUUUUAUCUGUUCAGAGUUUUAUUUGUAUUUUACAAGUCAAAAUAUGUAUAAUGAAUCUUGCAAUUUUUAUUUUCCAAAGCGAGGGCAUAAUUGAUAUUUUAAAUCUUUAGUAGUAAAAUUUACGUUAAAAUGUCACGUACGACACCGAUUUACAUGGUUUCGAAUCCAACCAUUGAUCGAUCUCAUCUUCAGUCAUAUUAGCACUUUGUCGGGCUGUUAUUGAUGUAUAAUUAAAUAUUAACCCUGCAUUACCAUAAAUGUCUCCAUGACAAAAAAUUAUCAAAAAAUAAUUAAACGCACAAAAAUCAUCUUUUGCAACCCGACCACAUACAAAUUUGUGCUGAAAUUCAUACAUAUCUUGUGAAUAUUUAUAAUUAUGUACCACAGCUAGUAGGGUAGAAAGAUGCUACAAUUAUUGACUCGUGGGGAUAAAGCCUGUUCAUAAAUAAUUGCAGAGCAUAUCAAGCGAGGUGAAGCUUUAAAUAAUACUUGCAUUCUUUAAAAGGAUUGUGGGAGAUUGAAUAUUUCUCCUGAGUGAUAUAGAAAUUAGGCAUAUGCAUGGUUGUUACUUAAUGUCAUGCUCUAAAAUAUUUGUGCACUCGUAUAUUAGAAAAAUUCUCUUUGCUUCUAUCAUUUAAAAAAAAAAUUGUGUUGCCUUUUAAUUUAUAUUUACAGUAAAAUUUAAGUGGAUGAUUGGUGGUUGAUAAACAAAAUUUAUAAUAAUUAAUCCUAAUUAUGUACCGUAUGUAGAUACACUAAAAGAAUUUUAAAACAAAUUACAAAAAUAGACCUUUUCUGGAAAUUAUUUUCAGAGUCGAAAAUCAAGAUUGUGCAAAAUAAUAAGUCGUUGGCUUCUCAAAAGGAGUUCUUGAAUCCACCAUUACUAAAGGUGCGUUUGGAAUUGAGGUUGGACAGCUGUACCUUAAAAGUUAUAGCACUAAAGUGUUUGGUAAACACUAACUGCUGUACCUUAGAAGUUAUCUUGAUAUGAUUUUUCACUUUUAUGAUAAAAAAUAUAUUAUAUCUUUAAUAAUUUUGUCAAAAUUUUAUUAAAAAAUUAUAUUUACUAUAUACUAUUAAAUUAUAUUUCAUAAUUACAUCUUUUUUUUAUAGCAGCUGUACCUUAAAAACUACAAAACCUUAAUCUCAAACAGGCUCUAAACUAUCUUGUUUCUCCAUUAUAUCUUUAUUAUGCCACCCAAUAUAAAAAUUUAAAAUUCAUAAACAAUAUUUCGGUAAUAUCAUAAUUAAUAUAUAAAUUGUAAUAUUGCUACAUGUACAACAUCUAUAACUUACAUCAAUUUAAAAUUAAUUUUUUAUAUGACUCAGUUGUUGUCGGUCAAAUAAAUGGGAGUUAUGAAAAAUUAUUUUUAGGUCCACUAUUAGUUAGCAGCGCCAGACUGUGAUAUUAUAGAGUACUAUAUAAGGAUGAAUAAUUUAAAAGCUUUACGACUCUUAGAAUUUGGUGAAAUAGAACAGCUUCUAAUGAGAUUGUAUAAUCAAAUCAAUAUAUACUGAUUUGUACAUGUAGAUAAAUUGAAAAGUUAGAAUGAAAUGUUACAACCCUAAAGGAAAAGGUCACCUACACCUCUAAUAUUUAGAGAAAUACUCAAAAGACCCCUAAGUUUUCAAUAAGAAACAUCAAGAUCCCCUUUUGACCAUAAUACCCUUUAACUUUAUAAAUCUAAAAAAUUGACCCCAAAAUUUUAUAAUAGAUAGAAAUAUAGCAUUUUUACAAUCUAUUAGACAUAUUUUGUUAUAUUAAACUAAUUUUUAACAAAUAGAAGCAUAAUAUCAAAAGAGAUUAAUUAAAGUUAAAAUUAUUUUUAAUAUUAUGUAAAAUUAAUAAUAAAAAUAAUUUUAGUAUUAUUAACGGGGAGAUAUUUUUAUUAAUCGUCAAAUCUAUUUAACCCAUAAAUACAAAUACAUUAUCAAAAUAAAUAUAAUAAUUUAAAAUUUUAAUAUUAUUUUAAGUGUUAAAAAUAAUUUAAUAUUAUUAGUCCACUGAAUAGAUUAUAUUAUAUUAAUAUUAUUUACAAAAAUUUUAAAGUCAAUGUUCUAAUUACCAUUUUCAAAGAUUAUUAUAGUUAAAAAAAAAAGGGUCUUGAUGGCUCAAUUUUCUCAAACCUUAGGAAUAUUGGUAUCCUUUACCCUAAACCUUAGCAAUAGAACAAAAUUUUUCUCUGAUGCUCGUAAGAAAGAAAAGUACAAUAACUCUUAACAUAAUCUUGUAAACAAAAGUACAAUAACUCUAACAUAAUCUUGACUGCUAACAUCAAUUAUUUAUGUAUAUUUCUCUUUUAAAAAGCUCAAACAAUGCUCCCUUUCAUUUUUCUUUAAUUAGGCAAAAGAAAAAGAAAAUGAUUACGGAACCACUAAUUUUCCAAAUGACCUCAUCAACGAAGGAGUCGGCCACUAUGUGCUUAAAAGUCAUAACGUUGAAGUUGGAGAAGCUCAUUUGACAAUAAUAAAUAAUUAAUUUUCCGUGAUGCAUGAUUUUUCCAAAUCUUGUUUUGUUUUUCAUUUUUUUUUACUUUAAGGGUUGAUUUUAGAUUACGACUCGUGAUUUGAAUUCAAAUCACCUCCUUAUUUUGACUCGUGAUUUGAAUUCAAAUCACCUCCUUAUUUUUAAACACCUUAAUUUACCUUCACUUUUUGUAACGAAAAUUUUAAAAAAAUCAACAUACCCCUUUUUUAAUCUUUUGAAUGAAAGAUAACUUGAGAUUUUCAAAAAUAAUUGGGCAAUUUAAAAUUACUUCCCUCUUGAAUUGACUAUCUUCAAAUCAUCCCCUUAUUUUUUAAAACCUCAAGUUAUCCUUUUUUUGUGUGUAAAGGAUAAGGAAAAGAUGGAGGUAGGUUGAUGAUCUUUUUUCUGGUCUUUUUAACAAAAAUAGUGAUUUGAUGCUGGUCAAUUCACAGAAGAAUAAUCUUCUUUCAUGAAAAAAGAUCUAUUUUUAUUCUUAUUAUUAACAAACUUUCAAUAAAUGCACGUAAGGAUUAAAAAAAAUAUAAGUUUUUGAGUAAUGUGUUCAUUUCUUUCCACACUUGUUUAUAUUUAUUGAUUUUAUUGCACUCUACUUAAAUAUGCAAAUAUUUCUAGAAAAAAAAACGGGUCGGCUGAAAUAGAAAUGACGUGUUCAUACGCUAAAGCUGGAAUAAUAUAAAUAAAUCAAUUAAUUAUCCGAUAAUGACAAUUUUUAUUUUCUUUUGAUAGUUCAACUCUUUUCCCCCUAAACUAUGCACUGUUUAUAAAUGAAAGCGUUACAAAAAUUAUGAAAAACUAUUAUUUUUUUUUACUAAUAAAAUAGUAAUUAGGAAAUAACAUCCGGGUGCAAUAAGUAUUAUUAACAUUUUACUACUAAAUAAUCAUAAAAUCUUACAUUUUAUUAUUUUUCUAUGUUGAACUUUAAUAUACCACUUAUGCCCUUCUUUGAAAUUUAUAAAGAGUUUAUCAAGAAAAAGGAUUUAAUAAAUAAAUUUCUCCAUUUGAAUAGCUGAACUCUUACACACAUGACACAUCUAUAAAAUAUCAGUAACGCCCUUGACAAAAAGACUAUUUUCUCAAUUUCCAUAAUAAAACAGCUUCAUGGUUGGCAGCAUAAACAUGUAUUAACUAUAAUAUUAGGCAAUUAGUAGUCUAUAUUCAAGGGUAAAAUUCAUUUUAUCUGUUCAGAGUUCUAUUCGUAUUUUACAAGUCAAAAUAUGAAUAAUGAAUCUUGCAAUUUUUUUUUCCCAAAGCAAGGGCAUAAUUGAUAUUUUAAACAACAACUAAAGGUCAAUUACUAUCUUUGUCACAAUAGUAGUAAAAUUACGAAAUUUAUAAUUCUUCAGUAGUAAAAUUUAUGUUAAAGUUUUGGAUAAAAAUUUAUGUUGAAAUAACCCUCCUUAUCUAUAUAUAAAAUAAUUCUCAGGUGUGGAUUCCUAAAGUCAGAUUUCGUGUAGAUUCGUUGUUACACUAUAUCUAUUUUAGUUUUUUUUCGACUAACACUAUUAAACCAGUGGUGUAAUAGUGAAUCCACAUUUUCACAUCCAUAUAAGAGAAUGACUAUAUAUAUAUAUAUAUAUAUAUAUAUAUAAGGAAAUUUUAAUUAGUUAAUUGCUUGAAAUUUUCUUAUUUGAAAUUAUUAAAAGUCGUUUGAAUGUUUUAUAAUUAUAUUUUAAAGUAUGGUGCGUAUGCACAAUUUGAGAAAUGAAAAUAUCACGGCCCAUAUUUUAAUGUACUUUUUAUUUUAUUAGAAACUAUUGUUCUUAUCUUUACAGCGUAUAUUGUUAAUAUUUAUGGAGAAUAUCCAUUUUGAGAAUCACUAACCACUCUUUCAAGUCAUUAUCUCUAGGCUUUUUCAUUACUCCUCGUAUAGCAAUAAAUAUUUAAAUAUUGAUGCAUGAAUAUAAGAAAUCAAUAAUAUCAAUUAAAUAAUAAUUUUUGACAAUUUUAGGACUAGUAUGGUAAAUUAACAAUUCGAUAAAUUUAGACGAUCAUAUAUUAUAAAAAAAAAAUUCUUAUUUUUAUAUUGUACUCAAAUACUAUAUAAAUUAAUAGUUAAUUUACUUGCAACUAAAUUAAUAGGAUAUGUGCGUACAUGGGCGGCUUUUGUGAAAUAUGCUUUUACUGUUCUUUUCUUGAAAUAGUUGUAGACUUGAUCUCAUGUCCAAUUUCACAAGCGUUUUAAAUAAAUAUGUGCAAGAUAGGCUCAAUAGUAGAAAGAACUACCAUUUGAGGCAUGCACAAAUAUCUAAUUUCUUAUUUUAAUUAAUAAACAAUUACAUAAACAUAAGACUUUAAUAUAGUCGAAGUGGCUAAAUAAGCGGACGGGCAUCUUAUAGUUUGCUCGUGUUCGUAUAUCCAAGUACUGAUGGAUUUGUAGUAGCAAAUGCAAGCAGUUCUUGGUCACGUUCGAAAAAGGCCAUGUCUUCGGGGCUCAGAGUCACCAAUACUUCUAUUCCCUUACCAUCGUUUGUGUCCAUUAGCAUAAUCAAGUUUGACACCGAAUAAUUUGGAAAAGUCAGGUGCACUGGCUUUCCCCAUCCAAAAUCUGCUGCUUCAUAAUAUGGAAAGUUAACAAUACUGGAGAAAGUGUAGAAAUCGAUCUCAUCUUUUUCAAACUUGUCUUUAAUUGACUCCGGAAUAUCGAAUAUACUCUUGUUUUCUAGCAAGGUUUUGAGACCGUUUCGUCUAAAUUCUGCCUUUGCUUUCCUUAAUGAACAAACCAAGUCUUGUAGUGUUUCAAUUUCCUUUUCACUCGCCUGCGCCAUCAGAUACGCGACGGAGUUGCCCACAGAGUUGUCAGGCAAGGGUGGGUCGGCCACGGCACGCACGUUUAUCGCGUGUGCUGACAAAGAAGGUCUUGAAUACCCGAGGUUUGAUCUUGAUGCAGCCCUUGCACACUUCCAAAUAAGUGCAGUCAGUGCCUCGACGCGUGUUGGUCUAGGCACGCUUGCACUUGAAACUUCAGCCCUGAGUCGGUCAAUUUUCUUUGUAUCAAAUACAAACCUGUUUGCUUGGACUGGUGAAAUAU
rnacentral:lncRNA from 1 species